AAGUCGUUUCGUUUCAAAUGAAAGUUUGUUUGGAUGAAGAUGAAGCAUUUUAAGGUGAAAAAUCGAUGUCUACCCUCACACGAAGAAACAAUUUUAUAACUCAUAAAAGACAAAGAGAGGUGACUCUGGUAAGAUCUCCUGACAUAACGUAUUACGAAACUUUCAUGUCCUUUUUUUGGCUAAAUUUAAAUGGUGGCACACAUGUAUGAGCAACGUUUGGACGACAAAAUAUCGAAAGAUAUCCAUAAAAUGUUUUGAUAAAUGAUCAGUUAAUUAAUAAUUCUGAUUAAUUGAGAUUAAUAAAUCUUAGUUCAUGAUGCCAGAGUGCAGAAAUUUGGAUUUAGUAAAUGUAACAGUGGGCUCUGGCCUGUGUCUCCACUUCACUGAGUGUUUUUCCCUUAAGUAGGCCUCCUCUCUCCUUCCAUUAAAAUAGUCUGGCAAUCCUUGAUAUUGUGUUUGGGUCACAAAAGGUGAAAUCCUUAAAACAAUGUAGCCUGUAUAUUAAACAAGAAAGGACGAAAUGAUAUGGGCCACCAAGUACUUUAGAGCAGGGGUUCUGACCAUAGACUGUAUAUAAGAUGUGUGUAUAUAUAUAUAUAUAUAUAUAUAUAUAUAUAUAUAUAUAUAUAUAUAUAUAUACUGUCUAUGGUUCUGACCCACAUUUUCCCAUGGUCCUUAAGCCGUGACCCACUUUUAUAGAAUUUAAACAAGCAUAUUUUUUAUGAAAAAAAAAAAAAACUUUAAUGACUCUACUUUUUAACAUGAAUCCACUUGUUUUAUUGAGUAAAGUGCAUUUCAGAGCACAUGACAGGGACAAUGUGAGGACGACAAAUACUGAAGUUGCAUGUACAGAAAAUAUCAAAUAUCUAAUAAAUAUUGAAUGAAAUAUUUACUUUUUGACCAGCUGUUGGUGACCCAUCCAAAACGUGUCCGUGACCCCCUUUCUGGUCAGGACUCACCAGUUGAAACUCACUGCUUUAGAGGAUGUUAUAUACCAUAGCCAUGCUUACAUCUAUGUUCAUUGGAAAGGCGAUUUUGUCAGGAUAAUUUCAAUGCUUACAAAUAGUUAAGCCCCAUCUGAUCAUGAGAGCACUCUCACAAUAGCAGCCAAACCCCCAUACCUUGAGUAUUAAAGAUUUAACAUUUAAUUUUUAGUAGGGAAAAUGUACUUUUUGUUAAAGGAAUCAAAGUAACUCAGGAUGGAGUGGUGAGGCUUUUUAGCAGACUACUGGUAAGACAGCAAGUAUGAAUCAACAAAGCUUGCUUAAAGAUGGCUUUAUGUUUGCCAUAGAGAGACACAAAGUAUUAAAGGAGAAUACUUAAUUUGCUGAUAAUAACCAAGUUUAUAUGUUAUGCAAAUAAAAAAAAACACUUGUACAAUCAUAAGAUGUCUAGCAAGUUGUUACAUGUUUCAGCUCUUUAUGAACACUGAAUGAAAGAACCUUACAACAACCUUGUUAGUCUUUGAAAUAGAGACAAUCCUAUUUCAUUUCUCAGGAUAAACAACGGUCGAAUUUUCAGUACAGAGAGAGGUAGGUGGGUUAAAACAGAGAUUUAUUCAGGGUGUGUUUUGAAAAUGAUCAGGAGUAGAGGAAAAGACAAGAAGUCUGUCUCAUGCUCCCAGUAAAGCAGAUCAUGCCAAAACAAAACUGGAACACACAAAAAUCACUUGUAUUCAUUAUUCUUGAAAAUAAUACAAUACAGGAUAAGACUAACUGCAGAGUUGGUCCUUGUUUUCUCACCAGAAUACAAUGUAAACAUUAAAAAUUACAAUUUGAAACAGAGAGUUUAAUACCUAAAGAAAUGAUAACGUGUAUUUUUCAAAACUUUGUUAGGUCCAAUGGUUGGAUGUAUUGUUUGUUACUCUUUUAAUUAUGUGGCCCAGUACUGCAAACCGAACAAAUUAAUGAGAUUUAAGAUGAAUUAGACAUUAAACCAAUGAGCAAGAAAUUAAUAGAAAAAAAAAUUACAUUAAAAAAAUUGUAUACAAAAAUAAAUAGAUGAAUAAAUAAGCUGUAAAAAAUGACAAACAUAACAAAAUACUUUUACCACAAAUGAAGCUUCUGUUAAAUGAAGAACAGCAGGGUGGUGAAUGAAACUCUUCUUUCUUCUGAGCCAAGAAGAUCAUUUUGGAAAAAGAUUUUUAAUAUAUUCAGAUUGUCCUUGUUGUGGUUUAACACUGGCAACAAUGAUGUCCUUCAACUUUUCCUGCAGCCAGUCCUGUCUGUCUCCCACUUGUUUGUGUUCCCGGACAUUGUGCAUGAGCUGAACCUCGCUGAUGGUUCUUUUUCUGUCAAAUUAUUAAAAAAAUCCCUUUUAACUUUAAGAACAUAUUUAUCAUCCAUUUGUCUUUUAAUUCAGUUAUUAUCUUUAAAUUUAUUUUCAGACCAGCCAUGACAUUGAACAAUGUCAAGACACAUAAUAAUAACAGAAUUUACCUGAUCGGUUUAGCUUCGGUGUAUAAAUUGACGAGGAAAAGUAGCAGAAUGAGAACCAACAUUUCCACGUGCCUCAAGGAAAACAUGUUCAAUAACUAGAAAAAAAUGGUAAAAAAGAUCAUGGUCACAACAUAAAUUUCACUGUUUUCCAAUCUAUUAAACUCUUUUAAUUAUAUGUAAUUGUAUAAUGAUUAAUUUAAACGUUGACAGACUAUUAUACCUUGCUUACCUGUUUUUUUCUGUCCUUAAAUCCAAAGGAAAAUGUAGGGAAGAAUUAGUCAAAGACGUACUGUGUCAGUGUGGUAAAGAAGUCCAACUUGUUGAUCAGCCUUUGGUGAGAGGAACGUCCUCUCCUUUAUAUACAGCGUGCCCUCCCCUGGUCAUCAAUACAGCGUUUUCCCUGUUUGAUGCUGAUGUCACUUUUCUAAUGCAUCGAUGGGUCCAGGCAUCUGUUUGACACCACCUCCACCACCACUCACUGCUAACUCUUCUUUCAACACCUCUGCAACGCGUCCCGCUUGUCAAACAGUUUGUGAGCUUGUAACACUUAGUGCUGAAUAAUAAGACGUUUAUAAAGAUGCAUAAUCUGUGCAUCAAAUGUGAAAGAAAAGCCUUUAUUAGUUCAACAUCUCUAAUUAGACAUGUCUCAUGCAAUUGGACUGCAGUGAAAACAUAUACUCUCCAAAAGGCAAUGACUGUCAAGUUUAAUUUAUUAGCAAUGCAAUUUAUUUUAUGGUUCACCUCAUGCAAGCAUCUAAAGGUCGUGAAGAGGUGCAGCUUGGCCAGCUUGAGGGGAAUGAAGCAAAGCGACAAGCCCAGAGCUGGCUGAUAGGCAUUCUUCAGUAGAAGAGACAUGAGAAAGAUAGACACUAAUAUCAAGAGCAAGGUGUUCAUAUUCCAACCAGCAUUUUGAGCAUGCAGAGCUCCCUGACUCUUAAACAAAUAAAGUUAAGUGUCAAAACCUCACAGAAGAAUGUGUCGGUGCCUGUAUCUUUGAUCAGCUGUAGAUCUAUUGGAGGCCUCUGGAUGUAACUGAAUGUAGAAAUGAAAAAUAAACACACAUCUUUCAUAAUAUUUAAAAGUUUGUUUUGAACCGUUAGCCUCUGUAAGAAAUCAGCUGUAUGAUGCAAACCCUUUGAAUUUAUAAGCCCAUCGUACGAGUGGCCAAACCUUAUCCUAUUCACAGAAAAAUAUGCAUUGCAAACAAAUAGUAAACUUUUAAGUGUGCAGAACUGAAGUUUUGUGAUGUAUGGGCUGUGUAUAACCUUGUCAUGGUGUCACAAGGUGCAUUAGGUAACCCUGAGAGACAUUUCUAAAUGUGGCAAAGGCACGGCUAUGCUGUGACUGAAGGAAUAGGUGCCACAGAAAGAGCCAUAUCUUACAGUCGUUAAGGUUUCCGGCACAAUACUCUCUGUUUAUACAGUGUUCUGGACGUUAUACAUCCUCAUUUAAUAUGGGUAAGGUGGGGGAGGUGUUUAUCUUUACAACCCAAAAAGUAUUAUUUUUUUAUGAUAAGUUCCCCUGAUUUGAUAUAUGUCUCAUAUCUGUCUUAUUACUUCUUUAGAUGGCUGUAAAAAUAAGGGAAGCACAAGUAUGAUUAGUUAUUAUAUAAAUUAAAUCAGAUCACCCUGGUAUGAUCUUCCGCAGUCAUCCAUAUAAGGGUCUGAGAUUGAUGCAGUGAUGCAAUAGAUGAGUACACCUGACUAAGGCAGGUCUUCCUCCAGAAGAAAGAAAAAGAAAAAGGCUCGAGUACAUGUGGGGCUGUAUGCUGCUGACCUGUGUCUUUACCAGCUCCAUCAAUCAUGCACGUAAACUGCUCUCAGCACCACCUGUGGUUUCAUCUGGGCUAGAUUUUUGGUACAUGUGUAGUGUACUCAACUGAGUCGCUCUCAUUACCUCAUCCGCUUACAAUGUGAGCCAUCUCAGCUAUGGUAUGUAGCUGGUGUGCAAGACAACUUGACAGGGAUUGAUGGGAAGAAUUGCACGCACAUCAUUAACUCGGGUCACCCCCAUGUCACAAAGAAAGUAACGCACAUAAAAGUGACUCAUCCCUUUGAACUAUAUUUAAGUGUUUGGGCUGUAAAUAGGCUACCUCGGGACAUAUUGGGUCUUGCGGUGCUUUUUUAAUUUUCUAACGGCUAUAUUCACCACACUUUCUUUUUUAAGUAAUGCCCUGUCUGUUGUGUUGUGCCCCGUUAAAGUUAGUUAAAGUGAUUCAGAAAGUUAAUCAAAGUUAGUUGAAUUCAUUUUACUACAGCAGAUGAAAUAUGCUGUCGGACGAGGGGCAUUUAUUCCUGAAUCCAGAAAGCCACAGAUUCACGCAUCUGGCUUCGGUAUUUUAUGUUUAAACGGUUGGAUGCCAGGGCCAUGCUUUCCCAGAAAUCUAUAAAUGGAGUUACUUUUUUGUAAUGAAAUGAGGUCACCUCACUCAAAGAUAUCAUGUAACGAAACGGAAUAUAUUUAGACUGGCGACAUCAUCCCUCCUUUGCCAGAGAAACCAAACAAACACAGAAUACAUAUCUAAAUCAUGCAGUUUGAAUAACAACUUAUUGCCUAUGAAGGAGACAGAAUCCAGAACAGCAAUAAAUCAUUCAGAUGUUUUCACAUCCAAGUUGUCUUGGAACUAGUCAACACUUUGUUUGCCAAACCAAAUGUUUUUAUUCCUCAGUGUUACUGGCUGCAGGGAUGUGCCUGGUUGGUGUCACUUAUCUGGAUGCCCACAGUAACAUCAAUCUAUCACUUCACAUAUUGCAAUGUCCCUCUGACUAACCAGCACAGGUGCUGGUGUCAGGUUAAUGGUUAGCAUCUCUUUACUGUUGCACUAUGGCCAAUGGCUCAAGAGACUACAAAGAACAAGUUUAAGGCAGACAGUGCUAGCUUGUCAGCGUAUUUCAUUCUAAAAAUCAACCUUACUUAUGUGACUCUAACAGAAAACUUAAUCCUCAUCUAUCUGUUGCAUGUAAUGGUCUCAGGUUUACCUCAUGCACCUUUUAAUUAAGCUUGAGUAUGAUAUUUUCCCUGAAAUGACAUCGCUGUCCAGUGUCAGUCAAAGAUCGGGUCUGAAAAAUAAUCUUUUAGGGGUGUGGAGUUAGAGUUUACCUGAUUUUGUUGCCCACUCCUACAUCCAGCAUUACGGUCUUUGACAUAGCUAUAUUGUGGGGGUAUAGAGCAGCCAUGUUUUUAAAAAAUGCAGAGAAGGUUAAAAUGAUAUCUUGGAUCGUGCUCCUUUUUAAAAUAUUCACAUCAUUAGCAUUGCCAUGUUUUAAGAAUACCACUCAGGGACGUUUAUCUUUUUAGUUGUAAUAUCAAAAUAAGAUUUAGGUUUUUACUAGAAUUAUAGAUUCAAUUUAGAUAUGGUUUCAUGUCCUUCGAAGUAAAAGUCACAGAUUUUAAUGAGGGAGCUGUGGACUGAUUUUUUGAUAAAAGGGAUUAAAACAAAAAUCUUCAUGUAAAAAUAUUGACACUGAAGUUGAAUAUAUUUUGAGAGGAAACCGUAGAUUGCUAGACUAUCAGAGUAACUAUGUUGGCCCUCCACAUUGUACUGGUUGUUGGGAUGUUAAACAGUCAUGAUCACCAGACUCCACAGACACAUUAUCACGGUGUUUCCUUUAUAAAGUUCUCUGGUAUCUUUCAUUUUACAUCCAGAUGUCACACUUCUAGAUUUGCUCCACCAGAGGUCGCUGUGAUUCAAGGCUUCAGUUGAGCUGCUCACUUAUUGAUAGAACAACUUUGCUAUGAAGAGUUCUCAAUCAGUAGUUUGCACUCUGCACUUUGACAGGGGAUUAAAAAGAGAUGAAGCAGAGCAGUGAAAAAAACACAGUAAGGGCUGAUGGAUAAAGAAAGUACGAGACUGUGGUCUGAUAGAGCUACCACCAUGAAACUAGAGGCUAAAACACAGCUUGACAGUCCAGACGCAAGGACUCAGCCAAGUAUCUACUCUAUAUCAAUCUUAUGGCAACUAAGUUGUACUAGUUUGUGAGAAAUACAGGAUAUUUAGGAGAGAUAAAAAAGAGGUACUUCAGUGUAAUCAGCUUUAAUUAUUGUAUUUGACAGAUUUGACAGCAGUGUGCCUUUUAUUCAGACGUUAGAAUGAGACAGCACUUUGAACAACUCCAAACGAAAUUAGUUUUCUUUGUAUAGAGACAGACAAGACAGUUUAAUGUGUUUCAUUUGGGUCUGAAAUUCUUUAUGAAAAUAUAUAAAGCAUUUAAUGUUGUGCCAAAUAAAAGGGAGAGAAAAAGAGAAAAAUAAAUGAGUGUUAAAGGAAUCUGAAGUUUUAUGAGACUUUCUUUCAGAUGUGGUGCAUACUAAAUAAGAACUGCCUCUCCAUGUUUAAUUUGGACUCUAGGGACAAGGAACAAAGCUGUACCAGACCAUCUGAGAGGUCUGGCAGCAGAUCAGGAAUGGCAAAUUAUGAAUUACAUUAUUUGUUUCAUGUUAAAUCACACUGUAACACUGUUUUUAAAAUUGUAUAUUAGUUUUGAAUAUGCAGUCAACCUACUUUAUCUUUAAUCGCACAACAAUCAUUGAUUUGUUUAUCAAUUAUUCAGAGCUCGUCGGACCAUCAUUAAAAAUAUAUAAACCAAAAAUGAUGAUUAUAGUAACAAUAAUUUGGUCAUACAAAUCUAUGUGUCAUGUAUAGUGUGGUAUGAACAUGGCAUUUUGCUUUUUAUUAUACACUGAGAGAAUAAAAAUGUUAAAAGACAGAGGUUCAAAGAUUGAGCCUUGGGGAGCUCACCCUUCCAUUUUGAAGUAAUUAUAUAAAAUGUUGCAAGUAGCCUGAGAUUAGAGGUCCAGUUUGGACUGCUUGUCAGUUCUCCUCUUGCAUUGUUAUUACUUAAUAGAGUGACAUUGGGUAUACUCACUUGUCCAACUACUCCGAGAGGACUUCAGCUUCUCACUAAAUCAGACAAAACCCCGAUAAGGAAAAAAAGUUAUAAAAAAAAUAAAAUAAAACAUUACUCAUUUGAGUUCAGGUUUUUGCCACCUGUUUAUUUUUUCUUGACAGAGAAAAGCAAAGACAUCAGUCACAUUUCUAAUUAAUUAUGAUUGGUCCUUAACUUUCUAUAAGUCAUUAACUGAGACACAUGACAAGGUGGUGAUUUGCUGAAAAAAUCUCUCCUGCUUUUGAAGUGAAAUACAUUUUUUCUGACUGGAUCUAAAUGAUAGAGAAUUAUAGAAAAUUAUAAGUGCCUUCAACCAGGAGGGCUUAGAAAGACUAACAUCACUCAAACAACAGAUGAAAUGAUGCAGCGAACAGACAAUGUUAUACAAUGUGUUUUAUAAACUACCAACAGUCUUUUGUUCACGGCAAAAGAUAUGAAAUAAGGCUGUUAUAGGACCGCAGAACAUCAGGUUCAGUUGAGUGACUCAUACAGGUAAAACAGCAGCAUUGUCAGAGCAGAAACCGAGUGAAGAAAACACCAAAGUAUAACACCAGCAUCCAUAUUUAGAUCAAGUGAAAAACACCUCCUGCUGGGCUUCAGCAGAUCUACGUACUGGGCUAACACUCAGGUGCCAUGUGUGAUGUUGGGAAUGAGAUACGAAGGCUGUGAGAAGCUUUUCGAACAAAUCAGAGAACAUUUUUGUAAAGUAGAAAAGACUUGGUCAAACAAAACUUCUUUCUCUGUCGAGAUGUUUCUGAUGCGGUUCUUAGUGCCACUAUAUUCACAUCUUUGAUACAGUCCCUUUUUUAUUCAUGCUACAUCUAUAGCUUGAUCUAUAUAGUACCUUGUGCCAGUCUGUUCUGCUGCGAGAGAUAUCUGUGGAUUCCCAGGAGAUCCUCUGCACUGUGGUUUUCUUUAUUAUACACUGAAACUCCAUAGUGGAAGGAAAAUUUACUAAAGCUUGUUUUCAUUCUUUGUGAACAAACGUUUUCAUCAGACAAAUAUAAGCAAAGAUGACAAAAAUGGAGUAAAAUGUUUGACAUGCCAGCCAGAACCAUGAAUUUUCAUGAACAAAAUGUGUUGAUAAAGCUCGAGUUCGAAGGAUCUGACGGAUCACUGCUUCUCUAUCCUUCGUUCUCAGGUAUACAGGAGAGAGUGGAAACUUUCCAAACAGAACCCGGUGUAUUUCCAGACACGAGGAGCUCAUUCUAAGGUAAGAAACACAACAUUUUCUUUUCUCAGCUUGUGCUGCAAAUAUGACUGUGAGAACUGUUUUUUCUUUCUGCUAGUAAAUCUCCCAAAUCCCACUCUUUGUCGGUCAGGAACAACAAAGAGACUUUGAAAACUUGUAAUAUCAUCAAAGUCCAGCUUUGUCUUGCAAGAACAGAAACACACCACAUCUUAUUGAAUCAUACUAAGUUGCUUUAAAAAAUAAAUUUAAUACAUGAUGAAACUCUAAUCACCUCUGACAACCAAACAAUUGUUAACAGCUUGCUAUUCUACAAAGCAAGUAGUUCACUGUUGACGUAGACAAAGUAUUCACUCAACUCAAAGUUGGUUUGACAGCUGCCACUUUUUCAUAUUUUGUGUUUGGAUCUGUGCCACCUGACUUCUACCUGUAUUAUGAUAAUGUACACUGACAUAAACCGAACCGCUGUCGUGCAACCUAAACACUAGAGUCAGAUUAGAAACCUGCUUACCUCCACUCUGGGAGAAGCAGCCUGUAAACCUCACUCAACGGUCUGAUGGAGAAUCUGAGUGAGGGGGAGGCAGCUGACUACACAGUGAGUCAAUGCUUCAUAUGCAGGAAUCAAACACACACUGAGUCAACGAUGCUGGUGUUCUGGGAGAUUCCCUUUUUGGGUUUGUCAUAUCCUAUAAAACUCCUGUUUUACAUGGCAGGUCCAAAGAUACUGAGCUGAUUGUAGUCUGAAAUAGUUAACAGUGGGUGGCAUGAUGAAGAAGAAGACUUCAUGUUGUAACACGCUAUUGCAAAUUACCAGCUGUUCACCAAAUUUCUUCCAGCAUUUGCUCACACACAAAUCAAGAAAGAAUAGAUAAUUUGUAUUGAUUUGGAGUAAUCUUCCUUCACUCUGAGAAUGAGAAUCCAUCAAUAACUCUUAUUUUAUAUCUGUUAGCAUUUGUUAAGUCCAGACGGGGAUAUCCAGCAGCUAAUCCACUGAAAGCUUUCAAUAUGUUCCCUACAAAGUCUCUUUCUGAAGCAGGUAGUGUACCUUUGGGUCUUUUUCGAGUGUUUUCACUUGAAACAGCUCCUGUCUACAGCCAAAAACUACUCAGUGAGAGCCAUGAAAGUAAACUGAAGAAUUGAGGACUGGGGAACAAACAACCAAGCUGAACCUCACCUAAAACCUUUAUGUGGCUAUAAACAUUAAUACAAAAGAUGCUCUCAUCCAUUUUUUCAAGUUCUUAUACUGUUUCCUGGGCUUGAUACUGACUGAUGUGGAUUUUUUGGGAUUGAAUUAACAACCUCCAUUAAAUUACCAGCCUGUGUGGAUGGAUGGAUGCAACUGUGAAUUAUGUUUUGGCAACUUCAGAUUCAGUCAGCUCUAAACAAAUUAAGUCAAUGGAUGUGUUUAUUGAAACUGACUGAAUCACUAUUUAUUUAAGUUAUAAAUGAGCAUCUGCUUCAAAAUGCUUAGUAAUUACAAUUUGAUUAUGAAUGCAGCUGGAAACGAGGGAGUGAAAUUUGUCUAUGAAGGAGCCACAUCAAACGAGAGAAGAAAAUGUCAACAUCAAAUCAUCAGUCUCAUCGUGCGUGAAACUCGUGUCCAAACAGUGAACUGUCGGUGAGUCCGCCAAGCAACAACAGGCAAACAUCAGAAUUUCAGAUUAUCUGCGUGGUGAUGCUCAUUCUCUGUAACAUCCUUUCAAUCCAGUCAUAGAUGUUUGCAUACAGAGUUCAGACACAGACAGUUUUUUGCUUUUGCCAGAAUGACAGGUCACGCACAUGUGUGUCAGCACCAGCAGCACACACAACAGUCAUCCGGUGCAUGAUCAACCAAGCGUGUUGAAUCCACUAUAAGAAAACCUAAAACUCAGGACAGUUAAUUGGUGGUUUAAGUUGUGUUGUUAGUUUGUCCUGUAGAUUAUUAUUUUACUAACUCGCUCAAACAUUGUGAUGUCCUUUAUCUGUAAAAGCAAAAUACUGCUGUGCACUUUAUUUUGGUAAGAGGCUCAAACCAGGUCUGCAGUGUGAUCAGUGAUCGGCCAGAAAAUUGUGAUCGGUGCACCCCUAGUUGCAGGUAUUUCUUUUCCAGAACAGUUAACAAGUCUUUGCAGUACAGCUGACAGUGUUAACUGCAAUGAGCUUUGCAUAUAUGGCAUAAUGCCGCCAUAGUUGUAAGUGCAACCAGCAUGAAACAACUCCAAACUGCCUCUGUAGUUUGAUCCCUUUAUGCUACAUUAGGUUCCCGUAUGGCAAAACGAACAGACCAGUAGAAUAGUAGUUGAAUAUGUCUACCUCAUGAAUCGGUCCUAUGGAUCUCCCCUUUUUUCACCAAUACCUGAACUGUUUUUUAUUUUCAUUUUGAGGCAGUAUCUGACCAAUACCUGAUACCAAAAUCACAUUGGUGCAGCCCUGGUAAAGAAUAAGUUAUUUGUUGCUCAGGUUUCUGAACCGCUGUAGUCCUAGUCAAGGGAGCCCAUUUCUUUUGUCAGGAAACAGGUCACAAACAGCCUUCAUCAAAGUACAGUUUUUUGUCCAUCUCUCUGUCCAACUCAACCACUGCUCUCUGUAGACUGCACAGCUAAAACACAUCUAAAGUAAACACCACGGCUGUGUCCGAAAUGGCCUACUACUCCUACUACUCCUACUAAACCCGCCUCUGAAUUGAGUAGGCAGUGCGUUCACACUGUACAGUAUGCGAAUUUUGUGUAUGCGAGAAAUGCCCGGAUGUAUACUCAAUCGGCUUCGAUUUCUGAGUGUGCAACGGAGCUUGCUUCACGUACUGCUUCUGCCCCACAAUGCAUUGCGCACCCCAGCUGGUAAUAUGGCCCUCCUUCCCGAGGCUGAAAAGAAUUAGAUGGCAUGUGAUUGCAAUAAUAUAUAUAUAUAGAUAAACAAUAUUUAGUCAGUAUACAUUACACAAUUUUUAUCAUUUUAUCAUAUUUUGAUCUUUUUACCAGAUUUAUUUGUAUUUUAAAUUAGGAUUAUAGGUAAUGUUUUUAACUAUUCGUAUAAAUUGACUUUAUUUAUUUAAGUGUCUAUUAAAGAUGUAUUUAUUACAUCAAGUUUGAGCAUCUUCUCAUCUCUGAAUGCAUCAUCAAAGUGGUCGCUCAUAUUAAGCACACACCUCUGAUUAAUAAAAAUUAUUAUUGGUAGAGAGCACAUGGUUCAGAAAAUACAAACGGGGAGUUUCCAGUUGACAAUCUAUGUGAGCUUUUCUAAUUCUUACUUGUGGUUGAAAAUCUGAUGGUUUCUGAAAUGAUCAUUGUACAUGAAAAGAAUGUAGUCGGGAAAUGAUGUAUUUGCCAAGGAAUAACCGAACGAGGUCAUAAUAAUUAUGUUGUGUGUUGGUCAUUUUGCAGCCCUCUGCUGCUCAUCACACGCCUAGCAGGUGGUGUAUAGCAUUAUCACCAUGGAUACACAGAUGUUUGUGUGAUUUUUUUCAUCCACUGUCGCCCGGUUUGUGUCGUGUAGAUGUUGAUUAUGAAAACACUUCGCAAUAAUUUGGAAACGUGAAGGGGGAGCUGCUGCUGCCCGGUGUUUACGGUAAAUAGACGCAAACACCGACCAAGCGGACGCGUCGGUCUCCGAAAACGCCGAGACAAAUUUACAAACAGCCACUAUUUCAAACAACUGGGCUCAUAAUCGUGAUGUAAACACUUACUUUCUCGCUAGAAAAAGUAUUAUUAUUGAAUGAAUUUAUAUAAUUUGUCCGGAAUGCAGUCGUUCUGUGUUGCUUGUGGUAGGACUAUUUAAAUUUUCCCGGCGCUGCGUCCGGCCGGCACGAAAUGCAUUCUGGGGUAUUUAGUAUGUAUGUGUGUAAACGCUCGGGCAGCUGCGGCAUACUCAAAUCAUCUUUGAGUAGUCAGUAGGCAGUAGCUACUGCUUGAGUAGGUAAGUAGAUAGUAGGCAGUAUGCCAUUUCGGACACAGCCCACCUCUCCCUUUGCUCCUGGAAGACAAGAGAAAUAAUAGCAACAGCCACUAGAGGGCCUCGCAACAAACAUAAGCUUACUGUAAAGAGAAUUGAAAUGCUUAGUCCUCUUGUCUACUUGGGAGGACAGCGUGACAAAAUGCUUUGGCAGUUAGCGAGUCAGCUUUGCGUACAUAAAGUCUUGAAUAAACCAACAACAACCUGAAUCUGUCCAAAAGUAACACCACUUUUAGUUGAUGCAUAAAGCAAAGUGAAAAAGUCACACUGGGGGUUUUGUGGACUGUUUUUAGUUUCAAACCUUUUCUUUUCAGUCGAGUCCAGGUAAAUGUGUGUCACCCCUCGAACAAAUAUUUUCUUUUCUCGACUAACACCUUCAGGAAAAUAGUGCAGUCUUUGAAAAAGCAAGAGGGGAACUACCUUGGAAGACAGCCAAUCCACAGCUGCAGACGGGGUCACUUUUACCACAUACUGCAGCUCAGUGAAGCGCUAAAAGUUUUCUUUAGCUUACACUGGCAUCAAUGUUAGGGUCAAACUCUCUUAAAACUUGUUAAAUAGACCCCUUUACCGAAGUAAACAAUAAGGGGUGUGUGAGCAUUUACACCGAGGAAAUAUAGUGGAGUAGUUUUCCAAGGCAAGUGAACGGAAUAACCAGCAAAAAACAUGAUUUUUACCUGAACUAACUGACUUUUACAAAUGGAUGACUUCCAGGUCUGUAUGAUAUCAGUGAAUGGACAAAUAAUUAGUAUUCAGACAUAUUUUAUGAGAAACACACUAAAGAGAAAUUGAGCAUACAGAUAUUCAGUGCUUAGGACUGAUACCAGAUGGUGCUGCAACAGGACGCCUCGAUACUUCACUCUCACAUACUUUUUGUGUAUUUUGAUACUGCGAAACAAAAUGUAUAUUUACCUUAUGUACAGUACCGGUACCCACCUGUAAUAUAAUGGCAUGUAUAUUUUUUCACAACCACUCUUUAUUCCACUGCUCUCUUCAUCGUUGCAAUAAGAUAAGAUAAGAUAUUCCUUUAAUAGUCCCACAGGGGGAAAAUCCAAAUUACAGCAGCAUAAAUACAAAUACAAAACAAGAAAUUAAAGGAUAAAGAAAUUUAGAGUUAAAAAAAGAUAUGUACAUGAGUCUUUAUCUACUAUAUACACUAUUGCACUACUGUCUUGUGUAUAUGUAAAAUGUCCAGUUCGAGCUCGUACACACUUGUAGUUUUUGUUAAAUUUCAUGUUUCAUGUUUGUACAUAGAGGGCAAAGUUUAUCAGAGUCAGAUUCCUUGUACGUGUACACGUACUUGGCCGAUAAAACUCAUUCUGAUCCUGAUUCUGAUAAUGACUACAUUAUCUGUGGACAUGUACAGAUAGAGACUUGUGUUUUAAAGACACUGUUGUGUUUUGGUGUGUAAAUAGUGACUUUGUUACCAGGUGACUUUCAGCCAAGUGCUUCGCUCACAAAUGCCUUUAGUUUUACAUAAAAAAAUACCUGUUGAGUAGGGCUGGGUGAUAUGCCCUUAAAUCAAUAUCACGGUAUAUUGAGCAGUUCACCUCGAUAAAGAUAAAUGGACGAUAACUACUCUACAAGCUGCUCACCCCCUCCCACAUUAACUUUGUCUAACCGUCCUCCAUCUUCUCACCUGUCUUUCCCUCUUUGUUAUUGACUGGAUGGGGUGGAGUCACAUCUCUGACGUAAGACCAUCUUAAAGGGACAUGAGACCAAAGCCUACCUACACACAUCCAAAACCAACUUUUAUUUAUUUAUGUUUCUGACACCGGAUGUACCGAUAUGGGCAAAAUGACGUCUGUUAUUGUCGUAAAUUUCUGUUUUUCGCCCAGCCCUACUGUUGAGCAUGAUUUAUCUCAAUGAUAAAAGACAAACCAGGAUACAUGAGCCAAGACUCUUCGUGUGCAUCAACAUAAGUAAUAACCACAACAACCACUGAUUCAGAUGGAAGUCACCAGACAACAGGGUCACUGUGGAAACCAAAACACCAGUCGUUCUGAAACAGUCUUGUUCCUGUCAGAGUUGUAAUGAACUUGAAUCUGGGGUGUAAUAUUGAGUCUGACAACCAACUGUGCAGCAACCAGAGUCACUGAUGCUGGUUACAUAUAAUUGAGAGGUUAAAGCUUGCUUACUUGUCUGAAAAACGGGAGCAAAACUCUGCUUACAUUGAUGCACUUGCAUUUUAUCGACAACGUCGGCCAUAAGAGGGUCUGUUACAUAAUUAAGUUGACUCUAUAGUGGUAGUUAACCUAUUAUCUGUGCCGAUUCUUCAGCUGGUUUAUUAACAAAAGGACAGAGCUGACUGGAGUGCCCUGCAGCCAAAACAGUAACAAACAGGUACUGCAUUCAACCUCACUUUAAAAAAAACAGGCUAUUCCUUAAAAAUACAAUAAAGUCUGUUUCAACACUGCAGUAUCAGGGUCUAAUUAUUUAACACACAACAACAACCGAAUCAGAAAAGAAACUCGGUUGAUGAAUUAACAAACCCCCAGGACUGUAACUGUUGUUUGUUCUGCAAUAGCUAUUGAUUUCCUCCCAAAUAUUUGAGCAAAGAUUGGAGCAUGGUCCGAGCCUGAAAUGAUAUUCAUUUGAAAUGACUGUUUCGUGCAAUAACUACUAAUGACCGGUGUGUUUAAGAUCAGAAAACAAUUCAAAGUGUAAUUGAUUUUCCCUUUCUCUCAUGCUGUGUAUAAACCAUGAUUCACCCCUCUGUGCAUGAGAAACAAAGCUGAGCCUCAAAGACUGAAACACCUCUGCUCCCUCUCGAAUCAGUGAUAAAGCAGAGAUCAUUCCAGUGCAUAUGUUCAAAUUCAGAUCAUUUCAAUACUCACAAUGUUGAAGUAUUUGAUGUUUUGUUUAAAUUUAGUGUAACUGCUCUGUAAUGUUUGCUCUGUGUUUUCCUCUGAGUACUCUCCUAAACUGAACAAAGCCGAGCGCAGAGGCAGCAGGAUGUGAUUCAUCAUUCGAAGCCUUGAGCUUUGGAUCAUUUGAACAUUAAUGAAUUUUAAAGUGCACACUUUUGAUACUCUCAGUGCGUUACAGCUUUAAUAAACAAAUCCCCUCGUAAAUGGCUUGUGGGGCACUGCUUCACUUAUAUUUAAAUGUAGCUUCUCUGAAAGCAAACGCGCCUGAUUAUCCCCUGUGCAAAAACAAGUUGAGUCCUGACUCCUGACGUAAAGGAAACUUCUUUGUCCGCAAUGAAUAUCUAUUGCAGAAAAUGUCGCUUUAAUAAGAUAGUGUGCAGGCCGGUCUAAGGCAUGUUGGACUGAGGGUGUCUUUGGGGACCUUCUGUUGCUUCUGUGAGAGGGAAAUAUCAGGCUGUGAAUACUAAAAAGGACAAUAACAAUGCAGGGAGAAGAAUAAAGAGAGGAGGGGAUUCAUCUGCAUAUUUAUGUGUAAAGUUUGAAAUACAAUCUGUUUAGAAAGAUGGUAGGUUUGUUUUCUCUGGUUUACCCACUGAUUCUGCAAUUGUUGUGUCUGAAUGUUAAAAUAUCACUUCUCUGAACGGUUCUUAUGUAAGUCUCUCAGUUUUUUUUCGCAGUUACUUUACAUUUCUAUCUUUAAAGGAGAGUAAGACAACUGUGGUCUGCAUCUGUAUUUCAGUUUCUACACCUUGUGCCUCAAAGGAACUUGAGCUAUAUCAUGCAUAAAAUGUUUCAAGGUUCAGGUCAUGCUCACACAUGCAGACAGGACUGGUUAAAGGGAUAUUAUGGCGUAAAUUUAAGUUAGGGUCAAACACACUGUAACACCAAGUUAGACACCCCCUCAAGGGGUGAAUUUUGCCCACUGCUUGCUUUUCUCGACAUACUAACUUCAGCAACGACCGCACGAUAGCAAUACACAGCGGUCUACAUCUCCACACAGAAACCUCAACCAAAACACCACUCUAUAGCCACUAAUAAUGCUCAGAACAGCACCUAACUUCAUCAACAGUAUGCAUAGGGUCCCAACCAUAGGACUAGCCAUCAAACAUCUUUUUAGCUUUGCCUGAUUUCUUUAGCUAAGAGACUAAACACAACUCAUCCACUCUUCUCUGGCAGCCGUUUGUUUGUGGGUGGUGCCUUGACGAGUCGAUUGCUGAGUGCAGUGGCUCAUUUCCAUGAAGUAAUAAUCACCAUAUUAAUCAUUUUGCACUGCAGACGGGUAUUUCUUCUGCCUUAGCGUCUUGGUCUGAUUGCCUAUCCAUGAAGUACUGAUCAUAAAUGUUCUUCCUUGAGCUGCAAAACUCCGCUGCACUCAGUGAUCGACUCGUCAGGGCACCCCCAAAAACAAGCAGCUGCUGGAAGAGAGUAGGUGAGUUGUGUUUGGUCUCUUUGCUAAAAAUGUUUGAUGGCUAGUACUAUGGCUGGGACCCUAUAUGUACUGUUGAUGAAGUUAGGUGCUGUUCUGAGUAUUAUUUGUGGCUUUUUGGUUGAGGUUUGCAUGUGGAGACUUAGACCGCUGUGUAUUGCUAUCCUGCGGUCGUUAUUAAAGUUGGUAUAACUAGAGAAGCAAGCGGUCGGCAACAUUCAUCUCUCGAGGGGGUGUCUAACUUGGUGUUACAGUGUGUUCGACCAUAACUUAAAUUUACUCCGGAAUAUCCCUUUAAGUUGAACUUACUUCAACUUGACAGUGAUCAACUGGCACACAAGAGGAUCUGGCAAAAUUUGGCAGGCAGCAUCAAUCACUUACUUAAUGAGUCGAGACUUAAAAGUCUACAAGCACUAGCACACACAAAAGCGCCAUUUUAUUCAAAUAAUUCUGAGGAGCAAUCUGGCAUAAACAAAAGACCAAGAAAACUAUUAACUGAGUGCCAAGCCUUCUGCUGCUUUCAAGCUAUAUCAUUCAAACAUUUAUUUCAAGGUUGAGUGAGAAACAUGAUUCACAUUAGCUCUGAAGUUUUAUUAUUGAGUUUGAAAUAUUGAGAGAUUUUUGACAAUUAAUUAAUCUCCUACUUUAUAAAGAAAAAAAACACCAACAUUUGAUAUCGCUCUCUACACGUCAUCUGCAGCAUCUAGCUUAAGUGCAUGUGUUUAUUUACAUGUACACCAAACAAAAUGAUGAAGUGCAGAGUCCUGAACACAUGGCAGCUUUGAGUGACAGUCGACAUAUACAGUGGAUUACAUAUUAUGAGGCCCCACAACAAAAGAAAUCACAGUUGUGUUGCCUCACUUGAAUUCACAGGGAGUGAGUGUCCCUCCUUACCCUAAGGGCUGGCAAUAUCAUAUAACUGUUAUUGAAGGGAGAAGCAUAUUAGAUAUAUACUCUACUCCUCAGAGCCACAAGUGUUGGCUGAGGCAAUAAACUCCAGUCUAUUGUUGUACACCGGUGCAUGUCUGUCAUUGUUUGAGGCACAGAUACUAUAUACCUUUCUGGCACUCCUCAGUUCAUCCCCCUUAAUUUGUAAGACAUGGAUAAGAAAUAUCCUAUCUUUGAAUAGUUUUCACCUCUUGUAAGAUGAAGUAUACUGUAUUUAUUUUGAUAUGUGUCUUGUCUCUUCUAAUUUUUUUACAAGAAAACAUAUGUAGCUAAUUGAACUCUGAAAUUUGAGGAACCUUAUAUGGAUGAACUCAUCAACUGUUGUAUUGUUUAUGGUAAAACUUGAAAUUUGACAUUUGUGGUAUCUCCAAGUUUCAAAAAAAUUCCAUUUAAAGCCCCACUAGUAUUAUUAUUAUCAUUAUUAUUAUUAUUAUUAUUACUUAAAGUGUUAUCAGUGGUCUUUAAAUUGUGCUCAGUAGCUUUUCUUCUUCACACUUCUCCUCGUGUUAGCUUGCAGUCUAACACUGCCGGUGUAGUUGAAGUAGCAGGUCAUAUAGGCGCUAUUCAGUUCUGAGACACUAAUGUCUUUAGAGGCAUUCACAGCAGUUUGAAUGCAGAAAUACUCAGAAAUGCAAUUUCGCACUCUCUUGAUAUACCUUGUAGCAUCAGAAAAAUGCCAUAUAAAAAUGUAAAAAACAAGAAAAACAUGAUUUUCAUCUGAGACUUACUCUAUAAUUAGUGAGUCUUUAAAAUAAAUACAUUUGCUUAUGAAACUUUUCAAACAUAGACAUGAAACUCAGAACAAAAGGGCUGAGAGUCAGGUUAGAUUAAGGGCCUGUGAGAGACACUAAUGAGUCUCUUAUAAAGACAGAAGCCUCUCCUCAGGAGAGAUGGCGUUAUCGGCUAUUGGUGUCUUUAAUGAUAAAGUACCGGAUUUGCAAAUAUCUAAAGAUUUCCCCACCCUGCAGGCUAAAUGGCUGCUAUUUGCUGAAAUGACAGAUAUGUCUGGUCAGUAAAGGUCCACCUGCUCAGUUAUAUUGAUCUCUUUUUUUAAGCUCAUGGGGCAAAUGUGGACCAACGUGAAACAUUCAAUAUCCAAUCAAAUCAGCUCCAGAUUGUCACUAACUUCUUAAAACUGAACCAGGGACUGCUUAUUAACAUAUAGAGUUGUAUUUUUCUCCCUUUUCUUCUUUGUAAACAUACAUGCUCUUCUAUUACUUUUAUGUUCCCUUGUUAAUCUGUUCUUUAUCGUGUUUUAACAGCCUUCUUGUUGUUGUUGGAAGGUGCUAUAGAAACAAUCUUACCUUGCCUAAUGGUCCUUCAUUAAAAAGUGUGAUACUGAGUUUUUUUCACGCCUUAACAGCUCCCUCAUAUCUCUAAGUACAAACACUCUUCCUGUAGCCCUCUUAAAAGGUGAGUCAAAGUGACUCUUACUUUGCAAAGUCAAACUUUCACACAGUAAUGAGAAGACAGAAUAACCCGCAAAGCAUGAAACACGAGCCAAUUAAAGCGAGACUCGAGUAAUUAAUUACAGUCUGAAUAAAACUGUAAGACUGUUCAGGAGGUGAGUGAGAGAGCAAUUUAACAUCAACAAUAUGAGAUUGAACACACAAAGCUUCGAAAAUGGUCAAAUAAAACCGGACACAAUGCAAAUUUUAGGUUCAGCUCUCUAACUAAAAUGCAGCCGAGAGGAGAGCCGAGAAUUCAUGUCUCAUUUAUUUUUGGAGUUAUCUCAGAGCUCUGCAGUGGCUGCUUUGGCCGAGCUGGGGGAGUGAGGAUAGCAGACGAGAUGAGAUGCAUGGAUGGAUAACCUUCUCAAGGUCUUAGAAGGAUAAACAUGAGCUUAUUUUGGAGAUGCUUAGGCUAACCAAGGCUCUAUGUGCAGCAGACCAUUCCCCAACGUGCUCUCUGAAAAUGAUUUGGGAAGACAUGAUUAGGUUUCACUUCAAAGAAAACAACUCCUAAAUUAUUCUUGAAGCUUUAAACUGUGAGCUUCAUUUAGUCCAUGUCUUGUUUCCCAUCGGAAAACAUCAUGUUUCAGCCCUGUUUAAUUAUUAACCCACAAAGCCAAACACGGCUACACGCUUUGGUUUGAAAAACCAAUUUGUUACAGUGACUGCUGAGCUCACUCAGGCUGCCUGCAAAAUGCAGCACUGUACAAAACCAGAACAGGAACAUAAACCCUUAAUGUAAUGCUAAUUUAUGUUUUACAUCUAUUUGUUCAGAUUCUUUUUAUCUUCCUCACUUCUGUGUCAUAUCUAAAGUGUAGCCGCAUACACUUCUUGCAGUUGCAGUUUUUUUGUUAAUGUUAACCUCUGUGUUGUAGUCUGUGAUGAAGUACAAGUCAAAAAAUGUAUUUUAAAGGUCAGUUUGUGCUGUGUGCUCACCUGAAAAGAUAUUUUUCUUGUUAUUCUUCACUUUUGUUAUCGUGAAUUGUCUGAAUUUCGCGCCCAUGGCUUCCAGCAGCAGUGAUAUGAUUUCUAACUGACAUCUUUGUGCCACAGACCGUUCAGUUCUGUCCAUCGACUCACAUUUAUAGUGGUUUUAAAUAUUUGCUGCAGCAGCCUGAGAUUGUUUAUCUUCGGCGUCUUGGCUCGAUCCUCAUCACUCCUCAUAGAUUUGUUUUACAUGCAGCAGGCUGAGUAAGAAGAGAUGAGAUAAUAUCUUACACACUCUGUAGCUGAAGCCGUAGCAGGUGGAUGCUGGGGAUGAGAUGGUGGGGCUGAGCGUUUGAGAACAGGACAGCGAUGACAAUGACAGAGCACUGGAAGAGGUUUUGCAGCCUGAAUAGACCAUAUCCAGGAGGAUGCACUUGUCAGGUGACAGAGGAGAAUGACACAUGCCAAGUGUGUAAACAGUGCAACUCAAGCUGCCAGCCUACAAUAGCUGACAGAUGUCAGUUCACCUAAAGCUUCCGUGAGGAGUUUGAGUUGGUUAUAAAACAGAGAGAAAAUCAAUCCUGAUGCCUGAAUAUGACCAACAAAAGCAAACAAGAACACGAUCAGUCUCAUAACUGUCCACAGUGUCCCCAGCUGGCUCACAGAAAGUGAUUUGGCUGGGCUGCCAAAGGUGUUACUCAGUCCAUUUUCUGAGGGUAGCAAGCUCUUUACUUUCGUACAAACCAAACAACCAAAUUUCACAUUCUGCCAUUUUUUUCCCAGCUAACAGAUGCUGCACCUGUGUUAGCUCCAGUUGUCGGUUGCUGGAGUCUAUCCCAGCUGUAACUGGGCGAGAGGUGGGGUACACCCUGGACAGGCCGCCACUCUAUCUAGAUUAUGCAAAAAUCAAAUAUUCUGUUUCCUCACUUUGGGGAAAAAAGUCCUUGUGCAUUAUUCUGGUGCACCCUGGCAACACUAUACUCCUACUUUUAUGUAAACUUACCAUAAAGUGGGAGUACUCAUCUUUAAAUAUAAAUAAUUUUAUUUUUAAUUUUCAGUUAACAUAUAAAACAAUUAUAUUCUCUGUAUUACAAAUAACUAUAACAAACAGUCCUGACAGUAGACAGAGACAGAUCGAACCCAAAAUCCAAAAAACUAACAAAUAAACAAAAAAAUACAAAAUUAAAAAACAAAUGCACUUAUGCUGCAUUUGAGUUACCUCGGAAGUCAGACGUCACAUCCGAGCUCCCAGCAUUUCAGUUACCAAGUCCGAAAAAAGCAAAAUCGGAGGCGGAAACAAGAUGGCUACAUCUUCGCGCUUGUCCGAAUAUAAGGCGAGUGCUAAAAUAACUUUUGUAGAUGUAGCCAUCUUGUUUCAGGCCUCUGAUUUUACUUUUUUCCGACUUGGUAACUGAAAUGCUGGGAACUCGGAUGUGACGUUAUUUUCAGCUCUGACAUCUGACUUCCGAGGUAACUUGAAUGCAGCAUAAAUACUUAUUAUUAUGGAAUUUGUUCAGGGGGAGAUGUAAUGAUUCAGAGUUCAGGUAAAUUGUUCACAUAAGUUAUUAGAGAGUCCCAAGUUUUGUCCCUAAUCCAGUGGUGAUGAGAUGGAGUCGUAGCAGCCUUCCAUUUGAAUAAAAUCAAGCGUCAAGCUAAUAAGUAGGAAAAGGCAGAGAAAAAAUAUUUUAAAGGAAAUGUCAAGGUCCCAAAAAAAUUUGAGGUAAUAGGACAGAACGUUGAGAGGGACCCUCUCUAUUUUUUUCAUGAUAUCAUGAAACAUACUGACGAAUCAGAAAACGUACUAUCUUUGUUCCCAUGGCCUAAAACUUGGACUUGGACCAAAAUACAGUGGAAUUCAGUUUAUAACACAUAGUUUGACAGACAAACCUCUUCACAGUGUCUCUAAAACAGCAACAUUAACUUCUUCAUUGUCAUCUUUGGAGCUCUAACUAUGGAUUGUAAUGAUCACACUCAUGGACAAGACUGAAAUAUGCCUUUACAGAGUUAUAUGUCUUGCUUAAAACCCUCCACACAGCAGAUGUAUGUUGUGUUACAGAAGGACUACCACCUAAAGACCAUUUUUCUGUAAGCGAAGGGCAGUGGACAGCUUAUCUGGCACUCACUGGCCUCUGACUGUGCAGGUCAGUGCUGCUGCAGGGGUUUACGGUUUGGCCCUUUUUAUGGGUGAAGCUAAAAUGAAGAGUAAUAGCAGGUUAUUAGCGAUUUACGUCUGAGAGGCUUGCAGGAAAAAAAAAAAAGCUGGCUGUGCUAUAACAAGUAGUGAUUCCCAACCUGCAGACUGGAGCAGGUGACAGAGAUGAGGGCUGUGGCUGAAAGAAAUUGCAGAGCUGUCAACUAGAAUAAAGCACAGAGCUUACUGGCAAACUGUCCCCAGCAGUUUGAGUACAGAAGCUGCUCUGUGCAGAAGACUCACAUCACCAUGGAAGAAAAUAUGAAAUGUCUCUCCGGCAGCUCUCUCCAGAUAAUGCCACUCUGCCUGAUGCAAAAAUAGCUCUCAGUAAUAUGUGUCAAUGUUUGUUUUCCCCACAAACUACGACGAAGAACUUUAUGGUGUCUAAGAAUUUCAAUAUUAGCUCAAUACUGCAAUAAAUCCCAGAAGUUUAGGUAUAAUUUUGGCAGCAUCUCUUUUUCAUACAAAGCAAUGAAACACGUGAAAUUGAACAGCCUUCAAAGGAAUUAGAUGACAGCCACUCACGUCUCUUGUUUUUACCAUAAUCCACCUUAAAACUACAGCCAAAUGGCAGUUUGCAGUUAAGUUAGAAAGUAGUCCACUUUCCUGUGAGGCUCUAUGAAUAUAAAUUGUUUGCAUGAAAUUAUUUGGAUGGAUCACAGUCACAACAAAGUGUUAGGGGGUAAACAAUGGGCAGAGGAUUACAUAGAGAAAGACAGUAAUAGAGUAUUACCCUGGAGAAUCCCAUUUUAGGCAGACUUCUUAUCAUCUCUUUCUAUCGAUCAGAACAUUUACAGCCUGAAGAGCCUAUAGGGACACGGCAUGGCCUCCAUUACUUUUAUUUUUGUGUCAAAUGCAAUGCACUUACUGUUAUCUGAGAAACUUCAGAAAGUGCACCACACAAAUUCAAUUCAUCAAGAUUUAUGCUGCAUAGAUACGUAUGAUCAGAUUCACUGUGUUGCUCUCAGAAGUGUAAGUUGGUGAUAAAGAAAAGGAGCAGAGGAAAUGUUAGAAUAAGACAAGGACAAAAGAAAGUAACAAAAACAAAGACAGGAAAACUGAAUUAUCCCUUAAGGCUUGCAUGCCUUUGGGGCUACAGCGCACUUUACACUGAAAUGCUGCUUUCCUGCAGAACUGAGACCUCGGUGGUGUAAAAACUGUGCAGUAAGUGCAGUUGUCUUAAAUAAAAAAUUGACCUCAAUUGGAAAUCUUUUGUAGUCUGAAGAUAUAUUUAAUUCCUUUGGGUAAAAAAAACUAUUCUCUCAGCUUUCAAUGUAACUUCAAGGGGUGGGAAUCCCUUGGUACGAUAUUAUCAUGAUACUUUGGCAACGAUACGAUAUUAUUGCGAAUUUUAACAUUUUGCGGUACCGUGAGUAUUGCGAUACAAUAUAUUGCAAUUUUUUUCAACUGUGUAGAUAAUUUAGCAUUUGUCUUUCCUGUAUGUUUGUCUUAUUUACGCUGUAUUUUAUUUUCAUGUAGCACAUCUUGCAAGCCUUACAUAUAUAUUUGUUGUACUAACUUUCUCCUGCUCCAUGAUGUCACCUCUGCCAACCUCACUGGACAAACAGUUGAUUUUAUUUUUCUGUUAUCAUAGAUUUGACUUCAUAUUAGCAAUUAAUUUGAAAAAUCGAUGCUUGGUCAGUGAGACGAUACUAUUUAACACCAGACAAAAUAUCAGUAUACUAUGCUGUAUUGAUUUUUUCUCCCACCCUGAGUAACUUCAUCAGAUUAAACCACACUUGUCUCGACUUUCCAAUUAGUCCAAUGUGGAAUAAUCCUCCUCUAUUCUUAUUUUACUUUCCUCUUUUUAGGACAGCUGUGGCUCAGCGGUAGAGCUGGUUUGAUCCCAGUUCCAACAGCCACAUGCCAAAGUGUUACUGAGGAGACAAUGAACCCCCAGAUUGCUCCUGCUGACAUAGUGGGGUUGUGAAUGGGUUUGAUUACAGUUAGUUACUCCUGAUGGUCCCCUGCUCAAGUUUCCUUUGCCAUUAGUGCAUGAAUGUGGUGAGUGAAAGCGCUUUGAGUGGUCAGAAAGAUUAGUGAAUUGUGACACAAGAAGAGUUUCAUUUACUAUUCUUUAAUCAGUGCUAAUUAUGGUGGAUUAUCGCCCUUAGAAACACUGUUUUUACUGGUUAAAAAAAACAACAACCCUAGACCCCAAAAAGGGGGGGAGGUCUUAGAGUCACACUUUGACCCAUUACAGCACCUAUGGUGUUUGGUGACCUUUUACCAUUUUACCACAGUGUACCAAAUUAAAUCAGCUCAUGGGCUCUAGUGUUGUGUCGUUUUGGGAAUGAUUCAUUCAAAAGUACGAAUCUUUUAAGUAAACGUACAGAACCGAAUCACUUCCUCAAGUGAUUUGUUUCUCAGUUCAGUUGAGCUGUCAGCAUGCGCCGACGCCUGGAUCACUUGGUGAACGAAUCACUGAGUGAACUAUACUCCCACCACAGUUAUUUUCAUCUGAGGGAUACGCUUUCAUGGCCACUGGUGUUCCCUAUUGUUUUAACAGAUUUAGCUUUAUUUCCCAAUUAAACAACCUUAAAACAUUAGGCUGGCAGUAAUGCGAGGAGAGUGAGACUCACCAGCUGUAGCGAUCUUGGCUGGAGCGACGGAGGAAGAUGAGGUGUGUUGUGUUCAAGUGUACUACCUCGGAGAAAAUGAAAUUUUGAUUCAGUGAAGGAAUCUUUUGAACGAAUCUUUUUAGUGAACUGAUUCUAUUGUGUCAGUACAUCUAAAAGAACUGCUGUGCACAUCACUAUUGUACUCAGUGCUCUUUACUGAACAUCUUAAUUCCUUUAUUUUGUAUGAGUACUGGUGUAGGGGCAAACAAACUGUGAGUAAAACGCACAAGAGUCCAACAGAGUAUUUCAACCUGAUGUGUAAGCUAGGAGUGAAUUUUUGUCUUAUAUAUACAUACAUUCGGAAACACAGCAUGGCUGAGCACAUACUGUAUAAUGAAGCAGGAAAUCUCCUUGACUUGGACUCUCUGAAUUUGCAUGAGCAAAGAAACUGAAGCAGUUUGUGUGCGUUCUGUUGGGCGUCUGAGACUACUCCAAAUCCUACUCGCUCUGGUUCUGCACCUGCUGCAGUACAGAUCCAGCAGAGUGAGCAAAAGCGGAUCCUACGGUCUCUUGGCUGAGUGGACCCCUCUCUGUCUGACUCUGAGCUGGGCAGUUCUUCAACCAGUUGCCUUCCAAAGAAUCAGAGUGGAAAGUGUUUAGGAAUCCCCAGUGAGCUGUCUGAGGUGAUUGAACCAUUACCUGGCUUUUCUCAGCAAAAUGUCUCAGCGUGCGUGGACCAGGUCUCUGUUUCUCUGCUGUGUAGACUGUGUUAGGUUAUCUCUUAGGUGAACUACCAAAUUUAUCACCCGCUGCAUAAGCUGACCCACAGAUGUGAUUACUUCCGCUGCUGCAUCCUACACAAAUCCACAACUUUUUCCUUUCUGUAUUUUUCAACACUCAGUAGGGAUUUUGCUUUUUUUUUUACCAGUAGCUGCAGGUACGCUCGGCUUCUCUAUGAAUAAUGCGUCAAAUGUAGUUAUGAAUACUUUUUGAAUGUACAAUAUUACAGCAGAUAAAAACAGACAUGCUGUAAAGAAACCAGAAAAUAUAUCCAGGUCAUCCAAACUGUAUCAGCAGGACGUGUUACCAGAAGAGCUCCAUAAAGUGUCACUCACUCAGCUCUUUCAGAGUGAGAUAUAUUAAAUACACACACACACGACUUGAACCACCAAAUUAUCUGCUGAGAACCCCCAAUUUGUCACAGCCCAUGGUUUGACAACCACACACUAAGACUAUAAAAUGAAAUCCAUAAUGCAUGUCUUUACAGGUUUUUAAUCUUUAAAGGGUGUAAGUGAAUAAUUUUCUGUGGAGGAAGAGCUGGCUUUUGAGAUUAGGCUCCCUGCAGCUCCAAAGAAUUUUAAAUUUGAGACACUCGCAUGCACUGAGUGACUGCAGCCUCCAACACAUGCUGCUAUCAGUGAACACCUUUGUUCCCACAGGUAUCUGAGCGUAUAGGCCACAGCUUUCCUCAGGGCCCAAGGCCAGCAAAGAGAAUUUAAAGUUUUGUUCAAAGAGGAUGUCUGCUGGAGUUUUUGGCUCGGGACAAAAAAUACUGUACAUUAUAAUUAUUUUCCACAGAAACACAUGGCUUUCAAGCUAGAAAGUGUUUUAUAGUCAUGAUGUGACAUUUUUUGCCAUGAAAAGUAGUUUUUAAUCAACAUCCAGACAAUUAGUUACCAUUAAACUUUUCUUUUAUAAACUUAUAAUUAUUUUUUUCUGUAAUGAUCUUCAGUGGAGACGACAUUGUGUGUGUGUGUGUGUGUGUGUGUGUGUGUGUGUGUGUGUGUGUGUGUGUGUGUGUAUUUGGGGCAAAAUCAUAGACUGUGUUUGGUUUUCAUUUCAUUUCAAGCAGGUAAAUAAAAGUGAUAAAAGGACCAUAAAGGACAUAUAAGGACAUAAAACUUUUGUUUGUCAUCUUUCUCUUUUACCUUUAAAUCCCUCAAAGUCCAAAUCCACGGGGUGUUUUGUCUGAAAUGUUUUUGAUGCAUAUGUAACUGAGAGUGAAGUAAAACACAAGUCACAUUUGAAAUGUCACACUGAAAUCUCAAAUUUAAUUUUGCGUUCCACGUAAGGACUGUUUCUAUUUCUCAGCCCUUUCUCAUAAAAAAACCCUCUACCUCAUAGAAGAAAAAAUAUGCAGAGCAAUGACAGGUAUUGAUCUGACAGUACUGGACGUUGUCAUGCUGCAGGAGAAUCAAAAGGUGUAUGAGAGUAUGGCAAUUAAUUACACUGAUUUUAGUGUCCAUCAUAAUGGAAGUUUGGCUUUGACUCUGCAUGUAAUUACUAGAGGGCCACACAGGACGCAUACCAAGUGUGAAAAUGAGAAGUUGAUUUCAAUGUACUUUGGCGUAUGUUGGGGUAAAAAGCUUCUGAAUGUCUUUUAUGGGAAACCUCUGUUCACCAAAACACUCCAGAUCUAUUAAUGCAUGAUAAAACAACAUGGCUGCACAAUAACCCUUAUGCUGUAUAUUAAAUAAAAAAGCAGACAGCUCCAUCAUUGCAUGUAUACUUUGUGCACAAUGUGUCACACAGUCGCAGUUUGUUAAGCUCUGUUUUAUCAUUCUUGUUAAAUUCACUAGAGCCUGUUUUAUAUAAGGUUAGAGGUGCCCUGGAUCUGGGGUCUUGGGCACUGCUAGCACAAAAAGACACCACUUAAUAGACAGAGACCUUUCAUAAUUAUUCAUUAAUUCCUGAAUUAGUCACACAUUGAGUUAUUAGCAAAUUACAAAUGCAUACAUUUUACACAACUCAGCACCUGAACUUUUUUUCUGAGAUUUUAAAUAGUUAAAGUAGGGAUGAAAAGAGGUGAGGUUCAGUUUCUCAGGUCCAUAUUGCACUAAGCAAAGUCUUGGUCGAGGUCCAAGUCUAAAUAUUCAUACCUUUUUAUUGGCUGAUUACGGUUUCAGAACAGUCUCUCUUAACUAAAAUUGAAACCAUGAACUUAAAGUGGUCACUAAUAGGUCCGGAAGACGGAUCGCUGCAAAUAGUAACAGCAAAAACCUUUGAAUACUGGAUGCCACUAAGUAAAGCACCUAUGGCUGACACCUACCCCCUCACACCAGUCUCAGGCAUUUAACCAAACAUGGAUCCUCUAUCGGUCAUAGUGUGUAGAUAGUGGUCACAUAAAGGGAGGAUACACUGAGGUUCACACAUGGACCACCUAAAAUAUUUCUGCAGUCUCAGGAUGCUGUGAAAUCCAUUUAGAGGAGCGUUUUCAAUCAGUCUGUCAGAGCUGUUUGUUGUAGUCCACCAAAAUUAAAUUACAUCUAUUUAUCUUUUGCAUUCAUUCAUUCAUUUUGUAAUUCACUUUUCAGCAGUUCAGGACAAGCGUUUGGUUUAUAUUUUUGCAUUAAUUAGGCAGUUUGAUUUUUGUUUACAGAGAUGGUGAAUAAGCUACUUGAUAGAUAUUCACCAGGGAAAAGUGCAGGGCAAACAUCAGUUUUCAGGCUGGAUAGCUAAUUAGAGGCUCAUGUUGUUUCUGUCAAAAUAAAUGUUGUUUUUUUUCUCUUCAAUACCAAACUUUUUGGAAAGUUUGCUCACUUUGAUGCCUAUUCUCUGUAGUGUUAACCUUGACAAGAAAUUAAAAAAUAAUGUUGGACAUAAUCAUUUUCCAAAAACGGUGGCUAAUUUUCAGUCAUGUUUUUGAUCUCUGUGAAACUUUGUUUUAACCCCAUUUAGGUCUAAUAUCAGCUGUUCUUUUAGUCAUUAUUUAAACAGACAGUUUAAUAUCCGUUUUAAGGAGAGAUAUUUUCCUGGUUGUGUAAAUUUCAGAGGUGAGAUAGAAUACCUCAGUCAUUUGGCUGAAAGACAAUUUCUAACCUACUCUGAAAAGUGCAAUAAGUCACAUUUCUUAUUCACUACAUAGAGCUAAAAUGAGCUGAACUCUGUCUGUGUUUGCUGAAUGACCAAGGGUCUGUAUUUAAAUCUUAAGAAAUCAUCAAUCCUCAUUUAGGAGUGUGUAGAUGUGAGCCAUAAGGAAGCUUGGCUCUGUAAGAGUUUACGAUUGGUUAAUGUACCAUGGCGUGCUAAUGGCCGACAGGUGUUCUGUCCAGUUGUGCUACUUUGUUAAAGAACACCACAAAGGUUCCUGAGUUUUGUGAACAUUAAAUUGAGAGAGUUAAUGUGUAUUCAUAUCAUCCUCUAAUCAUACAUCAUUGUUACUUACCUUGGCAGACACUGAGGGGUGCUUUGUUUUCAGGUGUCCUUUAAAAUUCUAUGUUUUUUUCCUCCCAUCUUGUCUUUCAAAAAUGUGUUUGCAGGUGGGUGUCUUUUCUUUCUUGGUUCUUGGUUGUAAUGAGGCUCAUAUUUCUGGUGGUGCCAGCUGCCAGCAUUAGCUUUGUUUAAUAAGACAGCUACUUACCAAAGACUGGAACAAGACUUCUUACUGGCAUGCACUGUGCAAAAUAAAUCAUGGAAUGACUGUGGAAAAAGAUGCAUGAAGGUGUGGCGAUAUAUAAUUGAUCAAAAAGUAAUCAAACAGUGAUGUAACCAUGCAGUUAAUGGAUGUGAUUGGUUGUCCUUCUAAACAAAUGUGUCCUGUCCUUGUUCUCUGGAGCGUUCUCUGGAACAGAAAUCUCGCCAUAUUGAUUCUCUGUCAGUUUGCUUACCAUUUACAUCAGUGUCUUUAUCGAGACAUGAAAAAUUAGUUGGUCAACAAAGACUUUUUCGUUUACAAAAUUAACACUGGCUUGUUGCAAAGGCUGCCAGGCACUGUCAAUCAAACAUAGACACGCCCUCCCUGCAGGCUGAGGGGAGGAUGCAUGCCAUUGUUUCUUACUCAAUACCUUUUCUGACAUCAUUCAUCAAUGCCAAAAUUGAUGGAUAAAGGUGAUUAUAGCAGGGGUUCAAUUUUAGAGUCAUUAACUCUAAUGAAUUGUUUUUUUUUUCCCACUAAGGCUACGUUCACUCUGCAGGUUAUGAUGCACAAUUUGGAUUUUUUGUUAAAUCCGAUCUUUUUGUGCGGUCGUUCACAUUACAACAAUGAAUGCGGCAUCUAAUGUGAACAGAAUGCGUCCGUAAAGUGACCCACAUGCACACAAAGCACAAAUUGCUUUCCGCGCCUGUUUGUGUUGUCGAACAAUGGUGACGUUUGUCGCAUAUUGAUGACAUAUAGGUCGGAUGAACACCACCUGAGCGUCCACACUGCAGUCACAUCGGAUACAUGUCCGAUUCAUAUCCACAUACAAAAGAGGCCUGGGUCGCAUUUGAAAAAAUCAGAAUUGCACUGUUCACACUUACAUGAAAAAAUCUGAAAUGUGUCACAUAUGGUUAAAAAAUCGGAAUUGACGUGCAGUGUGAACAUAGCCCAUGUACGUAGAUCUAGCUUUUGGGAGGGAGCUUCACACCCUCCAGAUGUGAUUUGUCUAAGUGAAAGGCUAAAGUUGCGAUCAGAAUAAAAUAUGACGGGGCACCUCAUAUGGAGCCCUAAUUGCAGAAGUACCUCCCCAAAAAGUAACUUCAAAAAUACAGAUUAAAAACUGUUAGUAAUUGAACUAUUUUCAACAAAUCAUAGUGUGAAUAAUGACUCAAGUGUUUUCCUGAUUCGAACCCUGGGCAGCUAUGAAAAAACACACAGCUACAGGCACAAACUCAAACACACAAGCUUUCAUCUUUCCAUGCACUUCAUAGACCAGACAACUGUGGUCAAGACCGGGAGGCUUACAGGUUUUUAUGUGUCCCCGAGCCUUUUGCUCUGUCUGAAACAGAAAAGUUGGAUGUUUGUAUCAAACAGACUUUUUGGGACUGAAGGUCGGGCUGCACAGACGGAUGGUUUCUCUCUACAGCUGAAAACUCAAACCAAAGACUGCUGGGUGUUUGUUUCAUCCUUUCUGGAGCUCAGAAAUGUGUAACCUGCUGUUGCAAAAUUAUUCCAAUCCCAUCUGUGGCUGAAACUGCUUUUACAAACUCCCAUUACACAGCAUGAGUGCAGCAACAAGAACAUACUGUAUAGUGAGAGCUUGUUAACUUGUUAUAGAUACUGUAGAAACUCACUGAAAUUUUUGCUAAAAUAAGUGGCUUGUUUGCUAAAUUUCUCAAAGUUUUUAAAAGAAGUUUUAAAAUCUUCAUAUUUUGACAUCUUAUUGUCGCUUCAUUGUAGUAAAAAUGUCCACCAACCUUUAUUCUGAAGUGUUUAAUUGGCAAAGAAAGCCCCAACCAAUUUCAUACAAUAUUCACUCACACUCAGUUGCUCUUCACUGUUGCUGGCUGGUUCAAUAAACCUCUCAACUCUAUAUGGAAGCGUUGUUGCUUUUUCAUGCAUGUAGGUGUUGUUUGAAGACAGACUCACUAGUGAGCGCUUGUGGUAAAAUUGGACUUUAAGUCUGCACCCCUCCCUGUAUCUGUUGUGUGUAUUUACUUGUUGUACCAUGGCCUCAUACUGCAUUUCUAUUGUGGGCAACUGAAAAUGGACCCUUUCUUACCAAACGCAGCACAUUCAUUGUGUGGUACCCUGCAAAGGAAGCUGCAACUCUGCCCACAAGCUCUUUGGAAAACACUGACUUUCUUGUCGGCAUGACGCCUUCAUGACUUUAUGCACCAACCCCAGGCAGUAUGACAAGCUUGGGUAGUUAAAGAAGAGCUGCACUCUGGAUUAACUAAUGCAUGAACAAGCGUGUCCCUUUUGACUCCAUUAUCCUGUGAGUUGAAACGAUAACGGCCUUGGUGAUGACAAUGACUAAUUUACAGUACUGCAAAGAUGUUGCAUGGUUUUAGUUUUUUGCUUGGUCAAAACUGGGGAAUGGAUUGCCUAUAGCUGAGACAUAUGAAUAGUUUAGAGAUAUUUAUAGGGACUUGGUGUACGUAGCUUGAGGACAGGGUGGUGAAGGUCAUACUGGGACAUAAGGCCACCCUGUACGGUAACACAGAUGGGACCUGCAGAGGUUAUGGUGUAUUUGCCAUUUGGAGUUCACAGGGUGUGAAUGCAUGAAAAGACAUCAUUAGACAGUUUUUGCACAACUCACAGCUCACCUCAGGCAUGUCUCUCACAUAACGUAGAAAUAUUUCAGCUGCUUAUUACAUUUAUAACACAACCGAGAGCUUCAAAUGCAUGAAUCUAACAUGAUAGCCAGGGGAGUGAUAAACUGUGAAUUAUAAACCCUUUUACAUCAAGAGUAUAACAAAAGGGAUAAAAACAGUGAUUAGUAUUUGCUUACUAGACCAUGUCUGAUGCCGUGUCUUUCCAGCUUUUUUCAACCAUUUUUUGAGUUCUGAGAUUUUGUGCUGUUGUGACCACGUCUAUAGAAAUGGCUGUGAAAUGAAAAUCAUGACUGGAGUUUCAGGACUAUAUCCUCUGUCUCUUCUCAAGGAUGUUUUUUUGAAGAUAGCUCGAGAAAUUUUACCUCUUAGAAAGAAAAAAAAAGGGGAAAAAAAUAAGUGAUUGAAAUCUUUUGGAGAAGGUGUUCAGUGGACCUUGAGUUUAAAGUAGGAACAUAAAGCAUGUAAGAGACAGUUUCUGUGAGAGACCACACAAGCAGUGCAGCCAUUGGUUAACAUUCAAAAUGCUUCAGGGAAGGUUAUCACCUGUAUAUACGAAAGCAGAACUCAGCUCAAGCAUUUGAAUACAAAAUUCAGUUAGCAAGCACUUUACCCAUAAAAAAUCAAACAAAACUUGUAACACCCUCGAAGGAUUCCUUUAAGAUCAAUAUUCAGUAUCCUCUAGUUUUAUCCUUACAUUCUUUGCGAGGACAGUAACAAUAACAGUAAAAUGGCAAUUAUUAUGAAACAGAGAAACACAAAUCACAGCUGAGAUGCCACGAAUAUGUCCAGAUGACUGAUACAAGCAUGCUCAUGUUCUCUUAUUAGGGGUGUUCCAACAAGGGCACCUCAUGAUUCGAUUCGAUUUCGAUUAUGGGAGCUUUGAUUCUUCGAUUAUAAUAGUUGUCGAUUUGAUUUGAUUCGAUCCGUGGUGCCACGAUUCUUUGAUUAUUGCCAUUUUUAAUGCUUUUUUCCAUACAAGAUUGAUUUUGUCUUCAUAUGUGGCUACAUUUGUAAAUAAAAAGCCCAUCAAUUAACUCAGUUCCUCUAAAAUUACACUCAAUAGGUAAAUAACAAGGUUUUUUUAACAUUCGACUUGUAGUUUUCAGAGACACAAAAUAUUCCAUUUUAUGACUGUUAAGUAAACAUUUGCACUUUGACCAACCUAAGUUUGGAGACAAUCUCCAGGAUGGUCCUCUGUGUGGCGGCACGACACUUGGGAAUGAAGUCGUACAAGGUGCUGCCUCACAUUUGUGGUGUUGUUGAAGUACUUUUAAUUUUGCUUUGAAAAUCUUGCGAAUCGUGUAGGUCUUGUCAGUCGUCUUAUUUGCUCUCUUAUAAAAUCUGAAGUACUACCACAUGGUUGCAGUCGACCCCGUUAACGAGGGAAUUGGCUGCUCUUUGGAGGCUGCUGAAGCUGUUGCCAUUUCGCAAAGAAACUAACAUGCUCUGCUUGUUGUGGUCCCACUCACUUAACAGUCCAAGCGGCGCGCACGUCAAGGUUCCAGUAACGUGUUUUUUUGUUCCGGCCUUGUGAGAAAGCAUCAACGUUAUUAUCUAUUUAUUUAAUUAAUUUAAGCAUCGAUGUGAUUUAUCGAUGCAGAAUUGUCACGUGAAGCAUCGCGAUGCAUCGACACAUCAAUAAAUUGCACCCGUCUCUAUCUCUUAUAUUGCCACAGUUAACUGUACUUUUCACUGUCUGCAAUUUUCAGACCUCAUAACUGUUUCCAAAGUCUUAUUUGUUCAAAGCUUUAACUUAAAACUUAUCUAAUAUUACCUGUCUUUAAGGAUGAAUUUUGGGUUUUAAGCUCAGCAGUUUAAUGGCGCACACUGUAAACAGAGGAUGUAGUCCUCUGAGCUUGUGGCCCAGGUUCCUAUCUGCAGACCUACGCCAUGCCUUACUCUCUCUUUCCUACUCUCUCUCUACCAUCCUAUCAUCUCAAUACAGGCAUUAAAAGGCCUGAGAAUAGUCUAUUAAAGAAGAACAUGGUUAAGUUUUAACACGUAAUUUCCUACAAAAUAAAUAUUUCUCCACCAUGUAUUUGAAAAGCUCAAAGCCUGAGAAUGUCAUAAACCAGAUUGCAUGGUUGCUGAGUUUCAGCCCCUCGUGUUGAACACUGUGCCUUGGGAUGUGGAUGAUAAAACAAAGAUGCAAUACGGCCUGUGAGGAAGCUGGUCUGAACACAGAAAUCUGCUGAUAAGCAUAAUCCCAGAAGAACACAGUAAUUGUGCAGUGUGGAAGACGCCUCAGCAGAGAUCCCGUACAGAUAAGUGAUGCCUCAGGGGCUGAGCUGCUGCCUGCAAACAAGUUGUCCGCACUGAGGGGAUGAACAAAACAGAAUAUGUUGGAGCCAAACAAUCGAGAUAAAUGAAAGAGUGGAUCCAGACAGUGGUUGAUGUUCUUAUUUACGGGAGGUAAAGCCCAGAGGAACUCGCCACAAACAUCAUCAGAGCAGCAAAAACAGAAAAGUAAUUAGACCUUCCCCUGAGAUUGUUUCCAUUGAUUUGGAAUUAUUCAAGGGUGUCACUGCAGUCAGGGGUCAGUGUGAGGGUGAAGAAGAGACAGUGAAAGAAAGAAACCAAGAUAAAGGUUAAAAAAGAAGAAAAAGAAGUUUCUACUGAAAACAAACCGGAAAAUACAGAUAAGACUGUAGUUUAAUUGUUGUCUUCGAAAUACAAAGUUUAAUUUAGUUUUUCAUAUGUUCAAGUUGAUCUCAGAUCUGUUAUUAAAUAAACAUAAGAAUUAGCUAAAAAUAUAAUAAAGAGUGUAAAAGUGAAGUAGUAAUAGCAUAAGAAUUCUCCUAACUCAGGGACAAAACAAGCACUCUAUAAAUAAAAUGUAUUAUUAUUAUUAUUAAUCCUGAUUUCAAAAGAGAUUGUAUCAAUAUUAUAAACAGCUUUCUGUUGAGUUGUGUACUCACGAUAACUCAAAAAUGUUUGACUAAUUUGUUUUGUAGGGAUGUAACUUGAGGUAAUGGUGCAUUUUAUUGUUUGACUGUCUUCAUGAAAGGUUAGAAAGGAUAUCCACACACGUCAUUUGUAAUUAAUUAAGAGGCGUAAAUAAUGGCUGUAACUGUGGAUAAAUUUACCCUUUAAAUAACUGUGACACAUUACCUCAUUUGUGAAUAUGAUUUAUGCCUCAGUUGGUUGUGGUAAGAUCCAAAGCAAUUUAAGAUUUGAUCAAAUAAUGUCUCUUUUUAUAUAUGACUUCAAGGGUUUCGCACAUCCUAAUGACAGCUUUUCGUUGUUGUUGUUAAAGGGAUGUUGCGGCGUAAAUUUAAGUUAUGGUCAAACACACCAUAACACCGAGUUAGACACCCCCUCAAGAGAUCAAUGUUGCCGACCGCUUACUUCUCUAAUUAUACCAACUUUAGGAACGACCGCACGAUAGCAAUACACAGCAGUCUACGUCUCCACGUGCAAACCUCAACCUAAAAGCCACAAAUAAUGCUCAGAACAGCACCUAACUUCACCAACAGUACAUAUAGGGUCCCAGCCAUAAUAGCCAUUAAACAUCUUUUCAGCGUUCCUGGUUUCUUCAGCAAAGAGACUAAACACAACUCACCCACUUUCCUCCAGCAACCAUUUGUUUGUUGGGGAGCCGUGACGAGUCGAUUACCGAGUGCAGCGGAGUUUCGCAGCUCAAGGAAGAAUAUUUAUGAUCAUUACUUAAUGGAAAUACAAUCAGACCGAGACGCUAAGGCAGAAGAACUACCACAUCUGCAGUGCAUAAUGAUUAUUAUGAUGAUUAUUACUUAAUGGAAAUGAUGCGGUAUAUCCCUUUAACUCUGCAUUCUUCCAUAAUGACAGUAUGGUGUUUUUAUUGGCACUGAACCUAAUUUCAAGUCCAUCCCUGUUGAGCUUUAGACCCACACAAGUUGAACGGAGGCCUUAAAACAAACUGUGAACAUCUCCAACUUCCCUCCAGUCUGAAUUCGGUGGUGUCAUGUUUUAUGUGCUGCUAUUCAAUGAGCGAUCUCUUUACUAAAGCUAAUCUAAAGGCGGAGAGUGCCACCAACCUUAAGGUGCGGGGCCACGACCGAGCUCCUGUGUAAAUUUCACUGAUUCAAAAACCAAUAUUUUCACAUAACUCAUGUGUUCCCUGUGCAGGUUCAAAUGGCCUCAUUGCUCAUUCUUAGUCCUAGGCUAGACCCUCCUCCUCUACAUCACAUGGACAGUAUAAAAACCAAUCAGAGGCAGUCAUUUAUCCUGCUGAAGGAAGAUGACAGCCAUUACUGGAGUGGAAGUGCUGUGUGUGCAGGUACAAUACACUCAUUUAUUAUUCCUAUCAAAGUGCUUAUUAAUGUUGUGAAUCUUUUUCCAGCUUCCUUCACAGGCUUCUUUAAUAUGCAUGUAAAGCACCACAUACUCAGCUGGAAAAAAAGAGGUUUUAGAUAAUGACCCAGAGCAGUAAACAUAAAAAUGUAUUAGCAAAGCAGUGGACCUCUCAUGCCUGAGUACAGUAUUAUAUAUCAUAAAACCCAAAUAUAAAAAGGGCAUGGAUCCUGUGGAAGCUUUUAUCGCACUCACAAUUUAAUUAAAUUUCACAUGGUUUUCAUGUAAUGGAAAGAGGGGUGAUUUCCUCGCCAACCUGUUCUGUCACUGAGGCAACAGCUGCUGUCGAGAACCAAAAGAGAUUUACAUGAUACAGAUGGAAUCAUCCACGACAGAUGCAAAUAAUUCAUCAGUUUCAAGAGAGGAGGUGGUAAUGUUUUCAUUAUUUUAUCUAAAUAACUAUAGUUACAAGCUCAGCCUUAAGAUGGUGAUUUAUAGAUUUGUCCCUGUUGUACAAACACGCUUUAUUUAUCUGUAAACUGUUUUAACUUCAAGUGAAUCAACAUUCUCUCAAAUGGCAAAUUAAACAUCGUUCUUCAAACAUAAAUUUGACACGAGGAUUCUCCAUCUAUAAAAGGUAACACUAAUCUCAGCCCUUGUUGCCUGCUGUUGUCUGUCCUUAUCUGGUUUUAUGUCUUCAUGAAUUUUUCCAAGUUUUGGUUGUAAACUGUGAUUCACUCGGAUUUCAUAUUCCAGUCUGAUCUGAUAUUUGUCAAGUUUUCUUCUACCAAUACAACAGCAACAAACUAUUCUGUGUCUCGGGCAGCCACACUAAAUGUGGUUGGCUCCCACUGCCCACGUUUUUUUACUGAUGCUCAGUUUAUCUGUUCUGAGCUUCGGUAUAAAUCAUGCCAGUCUCCAGAGGGAGGACCUGCUACUUCUAAAAUAUAUAGGGUGACCGUAGAUCCUCUGUUACCCAGACAUGUCCUCUUUUCUGGGGGCUGUCCGGCCUUGUCCGGGUUGAGUUUAUAAAAUCCCUCAAACGUCUGGAGUUUUGUAUGGAGGUUUCGAGUUUGUGUCGCAUGGACUUACUGAGUUAGACGCACGUGAAAGACACCCUAUCCAACCCGAAAAACUCUCAAAAUUAACUACCCACGACUCCCUGGCCCUUCCCCUGUGUAGCCCUAUCCUCUUUUGCCGAUCCAGAAUAUGGUCACCCUAAAAAUAUAGGACUAUUACUAAGUUAUCAGAUAUGAAAUGAUUGUGAUGUUCAAUGCAAUUUAAAGUCCCACUCAGAUCAAUUUUUUUAACAACUUAAAGUGUUCUCAGUUGUCUUUAAAUUGUGAUUAUGGUGUUUUUUUUAGCCAAAACCACGUUACCUGUGUCAUUAUCGAGAGCUUUUCUUCGUACACACUGGUUCCGCGAUCGUCCUGUCUUCUUCUUCAAGUGUUGCUUGCAUUGCAGGGCUCUGGGGGCGGGGCUUGGAUUUGUGAUAUAGGAAAUCUCACUGUGUCUGAACCUGCCGUGUGGGUCGGUGAGAGGUUCCCAGCGAUUUGAAUGCAGAAAUACUCUUAAAUGCAAUUUUGAUCAUCAUUUUCUCAUAUGUCCUGUAGCAUCAGAAAAAUGCCUUAUGAACAUGUAGACAACAAUAAAAACAUGAUUUUCAUCAGAGUGGCACUUUAGACUAGUUUAGCAUAUUUCUGCAUAAUACAUUUCCUCUUCUUUGGAAAAAUGCAGCUAAAUUCCACGCACGUUAUUUAAAAUUUACUGCUUUGUCUGAAGUAUCAGUGAAAGUUGGAGUGGCUGCAAACCUUACAGAUGGUGGGCAAUGACAGCUGAAAAAGGUGGACAUUUUAGAUUUAAUUCUGACACCAACAUGUCAGUGGACGAGGUCUUUUGACACAGUGAGGCGGAUGGAAACAGGAGCCUGCAGAGAGAAGAAAAUAAGUGGACUAGUAUUUUCGGGAUGACGACUGACUACUGACUGGGUUUGUUUGUAGCUUUUGUUUUCCCAUUUUCCCUGAGGCAUCCUCAUUACUUUUUUUUUUUUUACCCUACAGUAUCUGGCUGGUGUAGUGCUUGCAGGAAAUAAUGAAAUUCCUUGCAACAUGUUGGAAAGGACACCUUUCCUUCCCUGCGAAAGCGUGAGAAAUGUUAAUCCUCACUCACAGAGGGAGCUUUUUGGCCUCAGACAGAGAGCAGUAGCCCAACGUCAGAGUCAUUGAAAAUGGCUGGUGUGCUGCCAAGUAUUGAAAAGGAAAGUCGGCUCAUUUGUUCUUGAAGAAGUGGAAAGUCUGCUUUUUUUAUUGUGUUUUCGGACAAAACUUAAAAUAAAUGGUAGGUCUGAAAGUUAAUAGAGACAGUGGGUGUGGUUACCAUUGGAUGAAUACCAAAAGGGGUCAAGAUGUGUAAUGAUGAAAUCUGAGGGCCCAAAUUUACAAGUUGGAGAUAAACAAGCCAAGGACUAAAUCAAUGCUCAAAUUAACAGGCUUACAGUCCAGCAGGAUAAGACAGCUCAACAAGCAAACACACCCAGAGAGCCAGGUCAUAAAGAGGCAGCUGGUCAAAGCACAGGCAGAAGCAAUGUCAAGAAGAUAAUCAGCGAGAGGAGAAAACAAUCGCUGAAAAGACAAGUGAACAAAGCAGAGAGUGAGAUAAACCGGCAAAAAAGUGGUAAACUGGCUCUGUACACUUAAAAAACUGAUGGGAAAAUAAGAGGUGGUGUGUUUGUGAGGGAGGCUGCCAGACAAGCAAGUGGACAGAUGGAGAAUUUAAAGUCCUGGAAACAAAAUCAGCCGAGCAAGAGAGUUGAAGUGGACAGUUUUAAGAUUUGGGACCAUGGUGGUUCGACAUUCAAGCCAGUUUGCCUCAUAACCCUUACAGAAACUUUUUUAAGGUUUUAAUAUGUUUCAUCCAUCAUUGACUAAAAAGAGCGCAAAGUGCUCAGCAUAUGCAAAAGUCUCAAGAGCGAAAGAAGAAUGAUAAAGUCGGUGCUGCGAAAAGAAACUAUGAGAGAUAAGAAAAAAAAUUGUUGAGCUCUGGCAGCAGCAUCCCGCUUUCAUGAUGUGUUGUCAAGGACUUUGACAGGAUGAAAAAAGGACAGUGAUGGAGAGAAAUAGCAGAGGCACUUCAGCAGCCCAGUGAGUGUUACAGGUGAUGUCUAGCCCAGCUCCUCUUCCUUCCAAUGUCAUCAUGUUGUCCAUCAUGUCUGUGGCACAAACUUGACCCUGUGCUGGUCUUACCUGAUUCAAUGACUGUUGUAGUCAUUGAAAAAUGUCAAUAAAAUACUAAGUAGAUAGAAUUGGUGAAAAAAUCAAAGAGGGUGGGUCUUUAAUGAAGCUCAGUCCACACAACCUACUUCUUAUAUUAUCAACCUCUGAUAUUUUCCGCUCUUAAUUACAUAAUCAUGGAGAGUUUCCUCUUAAUCCACUGAAGACCUGAAUUUAAGAUGUAAACUUAAAGCUCCCAUGAGGAACUUUUGAUUUGCAUCAAUUUUGGCGUCUCCUGUGGACAAAAUAGUCUUUGCUUACAUUGGCCUCUACAUGCUGCCCAAAAAAUCAUCACUGUUGUUGCUAAUUUAGUUUUCGUUUUUGUCAAUUUGGGAUUGAUAUGAAAUUGAUUUAUUUUGCUUAAGCCAUUUUACUUUAGCUUGCAGCACCGUACGGCUUCCUGUUUACUGUCGGCUUCUCAUCAUCAUUCUACCUGGCAAAAUGACGGCGAAAGUUGGGAGAAAGAGUCGGAUAUGAAAUUUCUUAAAAAACGACAGUGAGAAAGAUUAAAGCAAGUGCCUCGUAGUGGAACCUGGUGAUAAAAUAUGUGGAAUACUUCUCAAGGGAAAAAAACUCGAACGCUAAUCGUGAGUACCCCGACGAAGUGGCCUCUUUGAGUAGCUUCCCUGAAGGAGAAGCAAUAUCCCCGCCAGGAGAUCGCACUGAGAAGCAGGAGACAACUAUUAUAGACUGUUUUCACAGACGACGUAAUCGAUGCUGGUUAGUAAACAAGCAUGUCUACAAGACUCUGCUGAUUGCCGUCGAAGAUUUUAGCUUUUUACUCGAGCCAAAAUACAAAUCACCCAGUGCUGCACGGGUGAAUAAUCACUCAACGCUGAUCCUGAGCCAGGAGGUUUAGAUGCUUCACCUCAACAUAGCCAACCUACCAGAGAGAGCAGCAGAUACACCGGCAUAAAUAGCUAAAAAACCAACACAAUAAGAUAAAAUGUGGUAAAGGCGACUCCUUAAGCCAGAGAAGCUUUCCACUGCCUCACUAAAAUGCAGCAGGUGUCUUUAAUGGAAGAAAGACAGCUGAGCACACACUGCCACACUGAGCAGAUCCAACAUAGCCUUUUGCAAGCAACACACAGCACAAACAGGCAGUGAGUGUAAUGAUGCAGCCACAGACGGGCUUCUCAGCAGUCAGUGGUUGUGACGAUGCUGAGUGUGUGUCAGGGAAAAGGUUGGUUAUAUGACAGGGAGAAUAGAUUGCCUUUGAGUUUGGGGUUUGAAGAUUUUUCAGUUCUGAGGAAUUAGCUGGAGGAGGUUGGCUCCAGAUUUAUGGAGCUUGGCAGGAAAAUGCUCAGCACCUCCUUAUUUUUCUUCUUGAUUUCUUUAGACAGCGAGAAAAAUGAGACCCCCUCCGGACAUGAGGGGAAGGAGAGGUCAGAUAAAUAGGCUGCUAAGCACUUGCAAUGAUUUACACAUUACCGAGGCUGUUUAAAGUGAAAUCCAACUUGAUUUUUUUGGGUAAAGGUGCUUACUGCAAGUACAAAUAAUAGUCCUGAACCUCAUGAACUGGCUUAAGUAAAUCAUUAUUCACAGAUAGAGUCAUUUCACUUCCAGCAAAAGUUACUUAGAGUGUGGUUGAAAACUCAGCAGUGAUUUCCACAGGGAUGCAAUGACAGCAAGAAGAUUUACAGUAAGAAACAUACUUUGUCACAAUACUUCCUGACUGAUCCGAUCAAUUUGAUCAGGUUAAAUGCCAUUGUGAUUCACUUUGGAAAGGUUUGGGGAAGUCAAUAAUGUAUUAUGAUAGAAAUAUUAAAUAUUUUACAGUCAUAGUGGCUUCUUCGUCAUUAGAAUUCCCACCUGCCAAGUGCUUAAGAUCUUCCUAUUGUCAACAACUCUGACGGCACACCAAACGCGAGUAAAAUCAUCUACUCACUAAAUUCACGCAAAUCUAGACACGUGGAUGAAGAGCAUUUACUCGCUUCAUUUGCAUGUCAAUGGUAAAUUCAACGGUAAUCCCUGCCAAUUCAACCAGGGGGAACAAGUGAUGGACAAAGGUUUUUAACAAUUUACCAGGUAAUCCGACCUCCUCACUCACUUGCCUCCAGGUGAGCUCCUUUUUAUUCUGGUUUCGGUAAUUGAAAGAAAAAGUAUCAUAUAAUUUGGGGCACCAACAGACCAACACAAACAGUUUGUUCUCCAUUUUAGAUACCAGUGAAUAAUCGUCCAUUUUCAUACGUCACCCGGCAACCUUUGUGCUGAUUAGUUAUUGCGACGCAAAUAUCCACUCAAGUUAAGACAUUUGCAGCUCAUGCCCAAUUUGCAUCAUUCAUGCGUCGCCAGAGUAGUAGGAGCAUCUAGUCACGCCUUUGUAUUGACUUAGCAUGUAAUUCAUUAAGGCGAAUGAUUUUACUCGAGCUUGGUGUGUGGAGACAGUGAGGCUUCUUCUCAGAAUCCAGGAACUGCCCAAGACCUGUCUGCUUCUCAACCUGAAGCAUGGCUCACAUCUGUCCUUGUUUCUGUAUUCUAGGCUCAAGUACAGCUCACACUUGUUUCCACUUCCUUUGGACGACACAAUAUAUCCCUAUUGAUUCCUUCUCUAACCCAGAUCCAUCAUCCAUCAUCCCUGAGGGUCACAGGUUGUCUCUCCCAAGGCCCACGCCUCCAUGGACCAGCCAGCAGCAUUUUCCAUGAAUCUGCUGCAGUGCUCUUUGUCCUGAGCUGCAGGUAGUCCCCCAGUGCAGAACUGUGGUUCUUGCUCAGCUCUCUCUUUGUGCAUUCUUCCUCUACCCUCCUUUGACCUAUGGCCAAAUCACCAGUUGCCACAUGGGCCAGCCUCAAGGUAGACUUUCAGAGUUUUUCUGUCACUCCUGGCAACCACCUUUCCAUUUACCAGAACAUAUCGCUCUUCCCCUGCUCUGUCCUCGGGCUGUCUGCCAAAGGGUUACUGCUCUGCCUCUGCUCCACCAAACAACAUCUGCCUGUUUAGUCCUUGUCCAGUCUUCUGUCUGUUUGUUUGAUAUCUCUUGAUCUGUUCAUCCUAAAACCCCCAAAACAACCUUGCUUCUAGAAUUUGUCGCUUAAUGUGAUGAUAAUGGAAGAGGUCUUUGAAUGGUUUCUAAGGUCCUUGACCUUCUUUUAUCAACACACCACUCGCUCUCCAACUUCCCUUUCUUUCAGAUGCUGCCACAUAAAGCCCUGCAACAUCCCUGCAAUCAAUGACUCCCUUUUACUUAAGCUUUUAAAUUAUCUCCUCAAAUACAGUUAAGUGUUUCAUCAGCUUAUACCACUGUUUAUCCAUCAAGGUCCUCCAUCAGUUCAUCUCUGUUUCUGGGUAAAAGACUUAUUGUCAGCCAGUGUCUCAGCGCAGCAAGUUCAGCAAGUGAGAUAAGAUAAGAUAAGAUAAACCUUUAUUCAUCCCAGAGUGGGGAAAUGUGCAGUGUUACAGCAGCAAAGGUUCAGCACAGCAAACAUAGAAGAAUAAGUACACUCAACAUGAACACAGAUAAGUAACUUUAGAGACCGUGUACAAGCAGACUAAACAAACUUGCAUGUAAUUUUAACCACAUGUAAAAUGUAUCACUCGCCACUUGUGUUUUGGAGCAUACGAGUAUGACUGGUGAGUAGAGAUGUGACGUUUGCGAACAAGUCAGUCAUUUGAACGGCUCUUUGAAGUAAACGAGAACCAGUACACAGUUGCGAGCCAUUCUUGUAUGCAGAUUGCCCACGCUGCCUUUAUGUGUCAUCUGUGUGCCCCAAACACCAGGUAGGGUAGUACAAUUUUGCAUUCACAUUUUUCCCGUCUUUAUUUUUUAUCACUUUUUAUUGCUUUAUCACAGUCUUUUAAACGGCUUUUCAAAAGGAACGGCACCUCAAGAUCCAGCUCCUCUUAAAAAGCCGUAAAUCCCAUCGCCAGUGAGACUGGUGAACUCCUGUCUCAUACUUACAAAAAAAAGUCUUGCUGGUACAUGUCUAGGUGUGUCUGGCACACACAAACUACAUAUCAUGUUGUAGUAUGAAUGGUAUGAUAUCAUAUUAUCACAAACAGCCCCUAGUCUUUGCUAUGCCUGUAGUGCACACAACGCAGAUAUUUCUUUUUCUUCUUUUUUUGUUUGAACUUUUUUAUCAUCUGAAAGGUAAGGUAUAUCAUAUAUUUUUACUUGUCUAAACAUGAUUCUGAUGUACGAUAGUUUUGUCCAGGAAAGUCCUCCAUAGAAAAACUGCUCAAUUUGUGCUCCAUAAGUUAAGAUAAACCUUCAACAUGUAUGUUGCCUAGAGCAGCACAAUAUAUAGCACAUCUCAUAUGACUUUUUUUGUUGGGUUGAUUUUUCUUUGCUUGAUUUUGUUUUUAAUUUGUUAUAUAUCUAAAUCAUACAGUAUCAAGUGCACGACUGGAGAUACAACACUCCCUAGCACAAGUGAAAAACCAUCAUUUAAUCUACUUAAAAAACUGCAAUUGCAGUCAUUUUACUCUGCUAAAGAGACAGUAAAACACUAAAGCCCCGUUUAUACGUAUCCAGUUAUUUUUAAAAACGGCGACAUUAACCAUCGUUCGCUCCAUUUAUUUAGACGCGAACAGAGAAUUCACCCCUGUAAACGAUGCUGUUUAAGAAACUCCGGCCAAAGUGGAGAUUUUGAAAAACUCCGUUUGCAUGUUUGCAUGUAAACGGAGAGAAACAGAGAAAAACAGAGGUAACUGAGAUUUGGGUAGCCGACGGCAGAUUGUGCGCUGAGAGAAGGAAGUGACUCUGUUGUUGUUGUUGUUGUUGCUGCUGCUAUGCAGGAUUCUGAUUGGCUAACGUGGGCUUGAGCUUCUCGCUACAGGUUUGGCAUGCUCUUGAAAGUGUAUAUACAGGGGUUCAGUCUAUGGUGUAAAUGAAAAUGUAGUGGUGUGCAUGCAGUUUUUUUGUUGUUGUCUGUAAACGGAGAGGGUGAAAUGUCCGUUGAUGAAAAUAGCCAGGCACAUGUAAACAUAGUCCUAAUGUUACAGAUAAAAUACAGAUAUAAAGGUGCAGAUGCCUACAUUUGGACGUAAAGGAUAUACUGUUGCAUCUGUGUGGUUGUACAUUAUUUAACAGUGACUUUAUUUGUUAUGUAAAGCCUUAUUCAAUGCCACUUAUGCUAAACGAGAGCUCUAUUAGGACCAGAUGGAAGAAGCAAUAAAAGACCCUGAGAGCUGACAAGUGUGCAUGCAGAGACAUCAAUAUCACACGUUUAAGAUCUGACAUGAAAUAACAAUGUUUAUUAAAGGGGUUUUAAAUGUAAAACACAAUGCAGAACACCAAAUAGUACAUCAAUCAUUUCAUGCAAAAGAAUCAGCCGAAAACUUUUGAUUGAAAACCUGAAUUGUUCUCAGUGGGAGAUCGACUAAAACAAGGGAGUCAAAAUAUGCAAAAUAUGAGCAGAAGCAAAAUAGAGUAUUGCAGGAAAUAUGAGUUUUUGAUGAGAUGAAUCCACGGGUUUUACUGUAUUCAGCCCGGUGGAUCCAGGCAGCAAAGGAUUAUGGAUGGUAAAAAUGAGAGGAUCUAUACAGAGAUGGAUUCUGUAAACGCUCCUGCAGCUUGCACUGGAGUAGAAGAUUUUACUGAAGCAAGAAAAGGGGGGCCGCUGCUAUAACAGUAAGAUACAAAUCUGCAGGAAUGAUGCACAAAUGCUUUAUUGUGGGGGAGGCAGCUAAACAUACAGGACCAUCUCAGGGAGAAAUGAAUGACAAAGUCAGGAAUGUUCUGUGAUAGUAUCCCUCUGAAAUGUGUUAAGCAGGCAGUUAAAGUGGGACACAGGGGAGAGACGUGGAUCAGUAACACCCUGUUUGUCUGCGAGGAAGAACAAAUAAUGAUCAUAAUGAAUAAAUAUGAGCAACACCAGCGCAAAUGUAACAGCAGCUUCUGCCAAGCGCCGAAGAAGAUAGCUGCAAGAAAACUGCAUAUGUAAGUAAAUAGGCUUAUCACUGCCAGGUCAUUAAAGCUCUAUGGGGAUUUUUUUUAUUAAUACAGUAUGAUGUCUUCACACUGAGACGGUGGCAAGACUUUACAAUCACAAAGGUUUUCUUUGCUCUGUGUCCCCUAAAGGCUGCAUUGAUGUGAAAAUGAGCUCUUUCAGUUUCUCUUUGGACUCAGAUGAAGGAAUUUCAAAACACUUAACACUCAAAAGCGCAUUUCAUUGGGUAAAUAUAUUUAACUCUUACAACUCUCCUUCGUACUCGUUUAUAUGACUUUGGGAACAUCAAGGCCCCGAUUUUUAUUUGCACGGUUUAUGGCACUUCAUGUGUUAUGAUUCCCACAGCCUGAGCGGGUUAGCGCAGCUUCAAACUCAGUCGCUGUCUUGAGACUGAAAAGCCACAGCUAAACCCAACUUUAGUUUUGUGACCCGCUAAUCCUGCUUCAUGAGAAAAAGACCCUUAAAAACAAAAUCUUAAUGUCACAUCUUAUCCCAGAAGCCUUCGCCUGCCACACUCCUUUUCAAGUAAGCUCCUUCAUGUAGCGGCUUGUAGAGCAAAGUGGAGCUGGUGAACAGAAAAUAAGCUCUUUUCCUCUUUCAUAGCCCACACUUAUAGUCAUGUGUGCUUUAUGUAAAUGUUUACAAACUGCGGGUGCAAAUUAAAAUUUAACAGCUUGGAGUUUAUGUACAUAAAUAAAUUCAGCAAGAUGCCUGUGGAAGGAUUUAAAUGGAUUGGAAAUUUUGCCACAGGAAGAGUUCAGUAAAACAGUAAAAUAAGACCAAUGAAUAAACAACAUCAAGUAGAGCUACUUUGGUCACAAGAGAAAUGGUACAGAGAUAGACCAUCACAGAAAUAAAUGUCACUUUUUCCGAUUUGCACCCCAAAUCCAUCAUUUACAUUUACAGGGAAACUGUUGGCCUAAAGAAAAAUACAAUUUAUCCUUCACUCCAAAUUAUAUCCAACUGAACAUUUCAGUUUAAGUGACAGGGAAACCUCCUCCACAGUUGUCACAAUAAACAAUGGCUUCUAGAGGUAAUACCUCACUGACCUCUACCUCAACUUCUUCGUAGCACAAAGUCUUCUCUGUUUCUUUAUCAGUUCACACAGACUCAUACUCUGUCCUCAUUAACAUACCAGAGUGCCUGAGACACGUGGGAUACAUCUGAUCUACUCUAAUCUGGCUAUGUGCAGGUGUAGUAACAUGAUACGCAUCAGAUAAGCGUGUUGGCAUCACAGGUGGUCGUAUCAAACACAAGUGAGUCACAGUAUGUUGGAGAGCAUGGGAGGUGAAUGUUUGUGGAGGAGAAUUCAAAGGGGUCGCUCUGAAACAUACUCUUAUCUGCUCUUGUGAAUUUGACUUUUACCACUGAUAAGUUAAAUACAUGUCAUCAUGAUGCUGAAAAGGGAAUCGUAUCUGUUUUGUUCAGCUGUUUAUUUAAAAUCCAAAAACAUCUAGUGUAAAAUUACAGCAAAUAUCGACCUUACUGUUCCAGCAGCUAUAGUCAAAAACUCCUUACCACCUGAGCUGAGCCAGCAAUAGCACAUUAAGAAUAAUAAAAUUUAUCCUUAACAUUAUAAAAAAUGUAAAUAGUUUAUCUAGAUGAUAUCCAACCUUUCCAUUUUGGAUUAAAUAACCUAUGAAUGAAACUUUAAUAAUCAUAAUGGAAAUCCAGCAAACAUACUCUUAAUAAUAUUGGCAUGUUAGCAUCAUUAUUGUGAGUUUAUUAGCAUCACUGUUAUUCGUAUGACGCUCACGGUGCUGCUGUGCAAUCUGUAAUAUGGUUGGUAUGAAUCAAAGUUGAAAUAUAACAAAGUGGGGAUUUCUACAUGGGAGUUUUACUCUACUGUGCUUAAGAUUGAUCCUAAAAUGCCAGAUCUCCACAUUACUAGAUCCACGAAUCAUUCAUGAGUGGUUCUGUAGAACAUGGGAAUAACUAUAAACUGAAUAUCAGAAGUAGACGCCAUAUUUAAGUGCUUCCGGACCGUGGUGGAACAUGACUUUUUUGAGAAGGGUGGCCACAGACCUUUGUUGGGGUGUCCAGGUGUGAUGACCUGAUAGGCUUACCCCAAACUGAGGAGGAUCAUCCUCAUUUAUCUACCUAAACUUUCACCAGAAUCCAAAAAAAGUUCCACUCUUGUACACAAUUUUUAACUUUCGGAGGGAACUUCACAAUGUGCUAACAUUUACAUCUUCUGAGCCCAGAUUUUUAAAGAGAGGAGUCAACCUUUACAUAAAUAACAAAUGAAAAUGCUCCAUGUUGAAAUGAAAACAAACUACAAGCAGCAGGUGGAUACACAACGCAAAUAGCUGAUUUCAAUACAUUUGCCGGUGUGGGUACCAGAUGUGUUUGGACUGCCAGAUCAGCUCAGGGCCCAGUGCCUGUUGAAGAUGUCACACUACGGCAAGUCCACUCGGACAAAAUACACUGCACUCCAUUCAAUAAGUCAAAUGUGCUCGGUUAGAAACCCCUAGCAGUUUUCUUUAUUUCUGUUUGCUCAAGAAAUUCACCUUGAAAGUUUCUCUCGACAUAAUACAACUUCCUUUAUUAUAUUUUUUUGGAUGGCUUUAAUUGUAAAUGUUAACUUUCCUUAAGGAAAAAGAAAAAAUAAUGUAUGCAGGAUCUUCGUUUAUCAAUAGAUAUUUUUGCUUUUAGUCUACAUUUCCUUUGGCCACCUAAAAGAGGCGGGUGUCUGACUGUCGUAGGUCCCCUUUGAUAAGUAGCAAUAAAUCGCUUCGUAAAAUUCGAAGAACGACAAUCCCAUGAAACCUAAUCUGCCGGAAACCGCUUCUGUAAUGUCCGAACCAACCAGAAUCUUCUAUGUCAUCCGAACCAACUUUCAGCCAAUCAAAUAGCGCUGUGUCAUCAACAGAUUUGCCAGCCCGAACACAUCUGGUAUCUUCAUCAGCUCUGAUAAACGAAACUUGAUUUAAAAAGAUGAUUGACAGCUCUCCUAACAAUUUGGACACCUGCUGCAUUCAGUACCAGACUAGCAAAGAGGAAGAACAGCAAGAAAAAGCAAGAGUCAUUAAAUUUUCCAUAGCCAUAAGCGUCUGCUUCAGAACAACACAAGAAUCUGUUCUGCUGUGGGCUGUUCCGACCUGAGGGACUUUUAAUGUUUUAUCAGUACUUUAAAAGGGUCUUUUGGUUAGUGUGACGUCAGUCCUGUGACUCCACCAGCCGGGUUUCUUCUACGCAUGCCUUGGCUCCACCAGCGCAGAAUGUCAGAGCACACCGAGGGAUAUUUCGGAUACUAAGGCAGCCUGUUUAUAUACAGCGCAGCAUCUCUGAGGAUAACAUCCUCUUUUUAUCUAAAGGACAAAACAGGAGGCACCACCCUAUGACACUAUUUGGGUCUGCAGUGAAAUUACAUUAAUUGACUUCAACUAUAGCAAUAAGCACAGCCUAAUAAAGCUGCUGGAAUAGCUGUGAACUCUAGUAACCUGCACACAGUAAUAACCAUGUUUAAUUAGACCAAAUGAUUACAGACACUCAGUAAAUAAGGGCCUGUAGGAGGGAUGGUGAGCUGUACGUGCGAAUUAUUGUAGUAUUUUCUCAAAAGAAGAGACAGACAGAGCAAACUUUAUAAAGACGAUCUGAUUCCAGACGCAAAGUUCAAAGAUAGAUGAUGUUUUCCUCUUCGUGUCUUACUGGUGGGAUUUGCUGCUCUUUUUAUUCGAGUUGUGCAUCUGUGAGGGCUUGUGCUCAAAGCCCUUCUGCUCUUUCUUCUCCCUGAGCCCAGGAUAAGAUAGAACAGGACCUGCUGUCUAAAGCUGGCCUCUUUUGAGGCACUUUGGCUCCUUGCCUACAUGCAGUGCUGACCUGGAAAUGAAAAGCAUAAAGUGAGGGCUCUGGAAGGAUGACAGAGCUGUGUCCCCGUCUGCCUGACAGAGCUGAUCUUUAAUGCUGCUUCGCCUCUUCUGAGCUGUCAAUCUGCUCUCCCUCAGACCCAUAACUGGCUGUUCUCGCCUUCUUCUAAUUACGUCUCUUAAGCUUAAGUUUGUCAUAACAUAUUGGUGCAUGGCGUCGUGGCAGUUAUGAGCCUGGACAGCCUCGACUUCUCUGACAGCUCGGUACUCUCCGAGCUUAUGCCUCGGAUGGCCCACGGUGAAAUUGAAGAUUCUUUUUCUUGAUCCUUGUCCAUAUUUCAGCAACAUACUUAGCAGUGGAAAGGACAGAAUAGUAAGACCUCCUCCUACAUCAUCCCGAGGUGUCAGCUUAGAUGUCAUGUUUUGCAGAGUAUGGCUGCACCUCUUGCAUUCGGGAAUCAGUUUCUUCUUGAAUAUACUUUCAUGCUAGCAGGGGUUUAAUAUUGUAUUAAGCUGAGAUGGGGAUGGGUGUCGUUAGCAUGCAGAGGAUGAAGCUCGCAAUAACUGGCUUAUUAGAUAUAGGUGAGUAAAUACAAAGAUAUUUUGGCAGAUAAUUGAGCAGCAGGGUGUGCCAUACGGAAACUUCAACAGAGCCAGUUGCUGAUUUUUGCAGCUCACGAGCCCUUCAAUUACUGCAGAAAAAUUUUAAUAUAGAAACUGCUUUUCUCAGCCGCCAGAAAUUAGAAAGUCGGAGUCAACUAAUUAAUUGGGGCAGGCAGGACCUGUCUCUCUGAAUUGACAUUAUGUCGCACAGAUUGCAUGCAGAUUACAGAGCAUCCACCCGCUAAUGACCUGCUGAAAUAUCAGAGAGUUGAGCCCCCUGAAAACACACAGAGGUGUCUGAAGUAUUUAAUAUCCGUCUUGAAAGGGAUGAACAAAAAACUGCCAAAAACACAGUAAUUCCUCUCCACGGGAACGAAGACUGAGAUCUUCAAAAAUACAAAGAGAAUUGAAAAAUGGUGACAAUGUGAAAACCACUGUGGUAAUCAUUGGCUUUUGUUCACUUUUGAAGGAUAGUGAGUUCAGUUUUGUAGCAUUUCAGGUUGAGUGGGGUUAGUGGUGUCAUAUCAAGGGUUCCCUCUUAAUGGUCUGAUUGCCCAGCAUAUAUAAUGAUUGGCUAUUUCCCCAUUCAGAGGAGAGACUUAAAGGUAGAGUUGGUAAUCAUGGCAAACUAGCAUGAAUUUGAAUGUAGCAUCUCCUUAGGACUUCGUCUAGCCGCUCCCCCCGUCCCCUUGGCGCUCCUCCGAAACCCCGCCCCCGCUCACAUACAUGAGCUCUGCUGUCUGCUGAUUCAAAACCACAGACUCAAAACUUUGGGACUUUAGAUUGGGAAGUCUUUGCACAGCAGGGACAAAGAAGGUAACGUUAGCAUCGGGAUGACCACAUAACUAGCAACAUGGCUAAAUACUUGAUCAAGAUUAAAAAUCACCCUGAAACAAAACCCUCACCGUAUCUUUAACAGAAAAUGAGUGACCAUGGCAUCAUCCUUAAAGCCCUUGACAUCUUUCAGUUCUCUUCAUCGCUAAAAAACUGUCCCGAUGUUGACUUUAGUUUUCGCCUUGCUUUCUUCAAACUCUGUCUUGCUUUGGCCAUCUCUGCCUCCGUCUUUCUUUUCUUUCUCUUUUUUGCAGGAGGAGCGGUCACCGUUAAUCUGGGUAUAGGUAGUUUCUCUGUCAUUCUCCAGUGUAGCUGUAUCCCUCUCAGCUUGGCUAUGCGUGUUAAGUCGGGGCCAGUCCACGCAGGAGGCAAGCUCGGGAUUUGAUUGGUUUAAAAAUGUGGGACCCACACAAUGUGAUUGGUUGGUGUUUUCCGAGUUUUGCUCCUGCUGUAGAUCGUGGCUAUGUUUCGCUCUUUUUUAAGAACACAUCAUGUAUCGAUUGCCAUCAGAACAUGAAGAUCAUUUUAACCAGAAUAACAAAAAGUGCAUCUAAAUCAGAUUCCCAACCCUACCUUUAACUUUAAACUAACUCAAGAAUUUUGUUGCGGCAAGAGUGCUUGUCAUUUUUGUUGGUACUUUUCUACACGGCUAUUGGAGAUUAACACUUUUAAUGUGUCCUUAAAGAGUUGAUGAUUUGGCUACGGCUGCUUUUUUAGUUAAGAAAUGUUUACACAGUGUGCACAUAUCUCAUACCAGCCCUUGAUUAGUGAGUGCCUCAGUUGCACUGCAUCAUUAAAAAUUUGUGAACAUAGCCUUGUUGACUAGAAUAUGGUCUUUAAAAAAGUUAGCUUGACAGACUAGAGUCCUUGACAUACGAGUUGGUAAUGAUUAAUCUGAAAGUUGCCUAUCCAUCUACCCAGAAAAGCUGUCCACAUGUUUUCUUGACAUUAUUCCAACUAAACUCCUUUAAAAAGUUACAGCUACUGUGGACUAUUGUAUUAUCAAAAAUAUACAUAGCUCCCUAAACACUGGUCAUGUCCACUCACUUUAAGAAAAGCAGAAUUCAGAUCCUUUACUUCUCAACAAUUACAUGCCCAUCUCAAAACUCCCAUUUCUUUCCAAAAUUCUAGGAAAAGUCAUAUUUUAUCAAGUCCCAUCUGACCCAAGACUGCAUAUUUAAAAAAAAAUCCAAUCUGGUUUCAGAGCACUUCACAUUCACAGUGCUGAAUCUGCAUUAUUAAAAAUAACUAAUGACCUUCUGUGAGCUGCUGGCUCAGGAAACCGCUCCAUUCUUUUGCUCCUGGAUCUAUCUGCCGCCUUCAAUAUUGUAGAUCAUUGUAUUCUUAAAGACAGGCUACAACAAUAGGCAGGGGUCCUGCUUUAAACUGGUUUUCUUCCUUUUAAUGCAACAAAUCCUUCAGUGUCUCUCAACCUCUUCAUCGGCUCUUAUUCCCCUAUGGUGUCCCCCAGGGUCCCAUUCUUGGACUGAUCCUCAUCUCUGUCUAUUUGCUUCUUCCACUAGGCAGUAUUAUUAAAAUACACUACAUUUCUUUUCACUGGCAUGAAGCUCUCUAUUACUGUCUUAAAGAUAUUAAAUUAUGGAUGGCUGCAAAUUUUCCUCAGCUUAUCGAGAAUUAAACAAAGAUACUUUAAUAAGGUCCUCAGACUUUGACAGUAUUUCACCUCAUCUUGGCCCAUUCACUCCCUCUAAAAAACCUCAAGUGAAAAACCUUGGACUCUGAGGUUAAAAGUAGGUUUCAUACAACUCUGUCUGCACCAUCUCCAAACUGAGAUAUAUUUUAGAUACUUAUGAAUUAUGGAAAAAGUCAUACAUACAUUUAUAUAAGCUGACCUUGACUGUAACAUCUCUUUGUAUUUUGGUAUCAUCCAGUCAUCUUCAUCACGUCUUCAAGUAGUCUAAAAUACAGCAGCUAGAAUUCUGACCACGGACCACAUUACUCCAAUUCUUGCCUCUUUACUCUUCCCAUCAACUACAGAAUCAAUUUUAAAAUCCUUUAGUUUGUUUUUAAGGCAUUAAAUGGACCAGCUCAUUCAUAUAUCACAGAACUCUUGACAGAGAAAUAAGGCCAUCUAACCAAACCCUCCUGUCUGUCCAGAAACCGAGAGCCUUUUUCUAUCAACAAUCAAGAGCUGGAUGGUGACAAAAGUGAUUAUAAUGAAAAGAAACAGAAAUGAGACUGACUGUCAGAAAUGUCACUCUCUCUCUUGUGCCCUUGUCAUGGUAACUACAGCUGAAGGUUUUGUUAUUAGAAACAGACGAAUAUGAAAUGACUGGCGCUGCCUUCAAUACACGCUACUCUGGUUUAAUGGAGCAGCUUAAUAAGCAUGGUAUAGAUCUUCACACAUCGAAUUGUGUAAAAAUAUCCCUCUCAUGACUAAUUCAAACACUCUUCCUGAACAAAAACAAAGACACACGUUUACAAUAUGAUUCGAACCCUUCAUUCAAGUGUUGAAGCGUUCAAGAGGCUGAUAAAUGUUGUAAGAGUUUAAGCAGGAAGAGUUUCCACAUCAGCAGGUCGACCCUCAGUAAACUUACUCUGCAGAUCAUGGGCCGGACUACUGAUAUCAACUGCUUUUCCAUCCUGUGAGUUAUGCAGCGUCUCAGGAUUCAUUUCUAGCUGAAUAUCUGAUAAAACUGUUUGGUUUUCGAUUGCCCGUGUCAUUGUCCUGAUUAUUAACAUUCCUUCACUGUGUUGCUAUCUCAUCCUUGAGCUGAUAAGCUAGUUUUAUUGCCACUGAGGAUUUGUUCUGGGUUUGUCCCGGUUACUGGCUCGUUUAUACUUCAUCUCAUGUGUCUGCAUUUGGGAAAGGACUAUAUAUUCUCCUAUGUCCUCAUUGUAGGCGAUAAAAAUCAUUGCAGUGACUGAAUUCACACGUCAGGCAUCAAUGGAUCUGGUUUUAGACCUUCUGUGGUGUAUGGCUGUCAUGUGAUGAGCCUCAAUAAUAUAUUUAAAUACCCUUGAGGCGUAUCACACAGGAGUAGAUAUGGUGUUGGCUUCUGUUGCUUUGGGAUUACUCUCCACAUCAGGCUUAAUAGGACCAAUCAGUGUGACACUCCCCACAGCUGUCUUUAGAGGCUCAGGAACAACAACAAAUAAAAACACAACACCUUCAAUAAGAUGACUGUGAAAGGGUUAGAUACACUAUUUAAUAAGGGUGCCACGAUUCUACAAAUCCUCGAUUCGAUUUUAGGGUCACGAUUCGAUUCUUUUUCUGACAGCACAGAGGCCUUUGCCAUUUUUAGACUGGUCUAGGCUACGAUCAUUGGUUUUAUUCAUUACAUUUUGUACUGUAGUUGUAACCCUCUAUAAUCCAGAAAAGCGGUGAUUUUCACUGUCCACCAAUUCCUACCGGGUCCGUUUGUGAGGCGAAUUUCUUUGCGGAUUACGGACAGCAGUAAUCGCCACAUAGGCUAACCAUAUACGCAGUAGAUUGUGUCCUUCCAGACAAGGAAAUCUUCUAGACUUCUAAAAUCAGCAUCCUCUCAUCCAUGGUGUCAUCGGGAUGAAAUGCUGUCUAUAAACCUUUCACUUGUUCAUCCCUGCCUGUUUGCAUGGUGUGAAAUAUACAAUCAACCUGAAAACCCAGAGUGUUUUAUUUUGAAAAGAAGUUGGAUGUUUUAUUUUGGGUCUGUGCCCGACUUCCUUUCCAGCAUGGCUUAAUCUGUGCUGAAUUUAUCCAGCAUGCUCCAGCAACUGGAAAAAAUAGUCUUGCGAUCAGCUGCGGAGUCCAGCGAUCCAAGAAAGAAGCUGGUGGAAACUGACAAAUUAACUUGAAUGGUUACGAUCAGCUGUGAUCGGCGGAUACGGCCUUUUCGUAGCAAUUCUGGAUGCAGUGGAAAUGGGGGUGAUGGUAGGCUGGACCAGUGAUGCCGUGUUCCCAGUGGUUAAAUCAACAUCUUUGUGAUGCUGGGGAAUGUGUGCGGCCAUGUUUGUCUUGUUACCCAUAGUCAGGUGAGCUUCAUACACGCAGCAUAGUUCACACACCAUCAUCUUCUUGUCGACAACACGAACAUUGUUGACGUAACUCACCAAACGCCAAGUAUUUCCAUACUUGAGAAUUGUGAGAGGCAGGAGCAGCUUCAAGUUCCGGUAGGGCGUCUCCUUUAUCCGCACUGACCAUGGUGUCAUAAGUGGCGUCGGCUUGUGUCGGUAGUUCAAUGUGCAGCGUUGUCAUUUGCUUCUACUUUUCUCUCUUUGAUUUCGAUUAUCGAGACCAUGAAGUAAUUUCGAUCGAUUGUGAUUAAAAAAAACACAAACUUUCCAACACCUGCAAUAGGCUGCUAGUUCUGUAAACAGUUGAACAGCUCACAUGAUGUUUAAUUCACUUCAUUGUCUAAAUAUUAUUUCUUGAAACUUUAUUGACCUUUUGGCCUUUUCUGAAGAACAAAAAAAGUUAAGUUUUCCGUAACUACCGGCUGGAUUUGCAUUGCAUUUCUUGUGGCUGUUUAUGAAGUCUUGACCUUUUGUGUUACUACGUACAACUACUGCUGUCAGGAGAAGAUGUUCAAAAGUUUCAGAGUAUAUGCCCAAAAUAAAAUACAAUAUCAUGACCUCUUUUGGACACCGUAGCGUGUAACUUCCCUCUGGCAUCAUCCGCAGGUCAAAGUAACAACAUUUACUCACACAGACGCCCCCAGAGAAAAUAAAACCUUUUCUUUUUAUAACAGCCUGUACUCCAGUUUCACCCUGAGACUAAAGCUGACAUGUUAUGCUGCGAAGGGUCAGAGCAAUGGAUGAUCAGAGCUUUCACCUUGCAGGGUCUUAUUUAUUAAAUGCUUUUUUUUAUGUAUUCUAAUGAAGCCACACUUUUUUUGGCUUUGUGAGUAAAACAGAAAAUAUUCGACUAUUGAGAAAAAUGUCAAACUUUUUUUUCCAGGUAGUGAAAACUUGCAUAGCUGUCCCUGCCUGCCCACCUGUCAAUCUUCUUUUCUAUUCAAUGUGUGCAUGCUUGGGCUCAAUUUAAUAUCACAGCUUGAUUUUAGUCUAAUCCAUUCUCACAAAGUAAUCAGAUAUUUCAGCCGUAUACAAAAAGGCUCUGCGGUGACUUUAUUAUGCUCUGUAACACUGCAAACAUAAGGUAGGACUGUGAAUCAUAGAGCAGGUGUGAGAUCGAACUCAGUGUGAUCCUCUUGCGGGUUUUGAUAAAAACAGCUCAGUGUCAGUCACCCAACAAAGAGUCAAGGGAGGUGACUCCCAGGAGUGUUUACUGGACUAUCCAUCUGGAUAUCUUUUUUCCACUGCAGGCUGCUCGGCUCAGACAAAGAAGUAAACACCAACUCCUCUUCCUGCAUGAUGAACACAGCGGGUCAGAGAAGGUGGAAUUGGUUUGAGUAUGCUGUUGGCUUGAAAAUCAAAAGACCAGGCAGGGAAAAUCUAACUCUUUCUGCACUUUUCUAAUCUUCACAAGGCACAAGCCAGGAAUCAACAAACACAGCUUCCUAUUUUCUUGGCCAGAGAAGGUGAGUCAUAGAUAACGAUGAAUAUUAUUAAUGUUUCCACAGCCUCCAAAACUUUUUGGCUUGGUCUGGAAAACUCUUCGGUCUCGGCAGCUUUUAUAAACUCUAUUCCAAAGGAACUCUUUCAAAACCUGAAUUCACUGUUUUUUUGGCUGCUUAGGCUCAACAGGCUGUUUGGUUAACAUGUGGUAAACUUAAAAAGUGGUUCUGGUGUAAUGCAAAUAUGACUUAUGUCUGCAAGCAGCCGACUUUUUACUGAAAACAGAGCAAUGUUGAAAGUUCAUCCAGAGCCGAGCCUCUGACUCACAGAUGAAACCACUCAUUCUCCUCCUCCUUUUUCUGUUUAAGCUUUAUCUAACUCUUUACUAUAUGCUCUGUUGUGUACACCAACUUCUGAAUAUUUUUUCUCUCUUCUGUUUGAUGCCCUUCAGGAAGUGAACAGUGGUUUUUAUAAAACUUGAAGACAGCUGGCAGCUUUAGUUACAAGAAAGAGAGUGAACCAAAACUGCAAGGUUGAGUUCUGCAGCCCACAACAAUACUUGUCACUGACACACUCAGCAAACUGAGGGAAGCUGUUUGUCCGUACAAAACUCCUUCAAACCACAAGCUUCCUUUUCAUCUAUUUUUUGGCCUCUGAGAUGAAUGCAUCCUUCUUUCCUUUGGCCUUGAUGGAUCCAUAAGGUGCAUGCUUUGUGGUCCAGUCCAUCUCAAAUCUCAAUGCAUGCCAAUUUGAAAAGGAGAUGGUACAAUCUCCUGGCCCAGCGCAUACUCUUCAUUUGUUAGCAUUUGGUUUCGACUCGAGCAAAUAGCUGCUAAAGAAAUUCUUUAAAAAUAGGAGAGACAUUGGAAUCUUGUUAAGUCUAGUUGAGCUGAACCCCGGAGUGUUUACCGCCUGGUGCGGUUCGUUUCGGUUGGUUUGAAUGCUGGCAUAGAACUCUGGUGCCGACCAGUCAACCGCUCUCAGGUCCGCCUGGUAGGGCUGGUCUUGGACCGCUAUCCAGUGAACUCUUGAGUGGUUUACUCCUGGUGUGAACCCCAUCUGCACCAAUCACAGGAAGCAGUUUUACACGUCAUUUCCUGUUUUGGUCAGAGGCAAAGUUAUCAAAGUGCGGCUAAUGUCUGGCAGGCAACAAACGUGGAGUUACGAAUUAUUGCCUGUCAUCUUCUGUGAUAUGACCAUUCGAUUGCAGAGCGUCUCCUGCGACGUGCGUGUAUUAAUACAUUAUUUAAUUGUCGCAGUCUUCCCAACCGUUCAUAUGUGUGGUCCGUUAAAGUCUGCUGAUAUGCAGUCCAGAUCGGCACCAACAUAAAAAUGAGCAGAUGAUGCUCCAUGAUGUACUUUAAAAAUUGUGAGGGAUUUGUCAUCUAUCCGCCUAAACUGUAUAAGCAAUCACCGAUGGCUUUUGCUGCCAUGUGACAAUUUUUGGACCGUUUGAGUUUGGCCUUUGUGAACGUGAACCGGACCAGUUGAGAAAUUGCAAUUAUGUGUCAUCAAUGUAUCAUCCUCGCUUUGGUUCGUAUCAGAAAACAGACCUUUUGGUGUGAACACAACCUUAGAUUUAUUUAUUUAUUUUUCUUCGUUUUUAUUUCGUUUUAAUUUAUUAUUUCUUAAACUUCAUUUUAUGUUACUUUGUCUCAAGAUUUUAACCCAGCCUCCGAUGUUUCCUUAUCUUGAAUUUUAAGAUGGCGUUUACUCAGUGCGCAUAUUCCUGUUGUUUACUAAAUGGGGCUCUUUUUAAGUUAAUGUGUUUUAAAACUAACUUCUAUUGUGCUUGGACUGUGGGGUAGGGAUGAAGAGACGGGGAUGGGCUGGGGGGAAAGUCGGGUAUUCUUUCUUUUUUUAUUAUUUUUUUUCCUUCUUCUGUGUAAAUCACUUUUUUUUACUACAUUGCCCUGUAUGAAAAGUGCUUUAAAAAUAAAGAUUGAUUGAUUAAUCAAAAGUAUAAACAUGUUACUCUGCCCAGAAUGCUUCAUGAAGAGUGGAUGAAUCUUAAAGUCAUCACGAUUCUUUCUUGGGAUGUUGGACGUCCAAUCGAUGUUGUGAUUUGUGAAAUUUGGACUGAGUACUGAGCAGCCAGAGCACAGCUGCAUUAAUUAAUAUCUUCAGCUUUAUGGCUAAAAAUAUUAAUUAGUGCAGCUUUGAAGGUAAAAUUGGUAAAACAGACACGUUGCCAACCACUGCUAAUUGAAAGAAUAUUAAAAAAACAUCAGUAAGUUCUUUCGAGAAGUUGUGUGGUUGUGUGCCGAUCAUUUUAAUCUGCUGUUGCAGAACUUUAAAUCAUCCCAGGAAAAGUCGGAGACAAGAAACAUAAUCUAUCUUCUUAGGAGAGCAGCAGAUUAAAAAAAAAUAACUUGCAUUGUAAAGAUUUUAUCACACACAGAACAUAAUGAAAAUCUUCAACCUCUAUUUUCAAUUACAAAGAUACACAGGAAACCUAGAUACCAGCGUUGACUCAAAACUAGUGAACAUACACACAUUUUUUCAGUGCAUUACUAAACCCUUCCAAAAGUGCCAUGUUAAAGUCAAAUGUUUUUUUCCAGAUGACUGCAAAUCCUGCCAAUUCUCUAUUUCUUUUCCAGCUAUUUGUUUCCCCAAAUUAAUUAUCUUUAUUGAGGUAAACUGCCCUGCCUCACUCUCUGUGUGGGGCCUGCCAGGGAUCCCUGGGUGAAUAGGAAAUGGUUUUGGACGGAAAAAAGAAAGCUGGCAGAUAAAAAAAACGAACAAUGGAAUCCCUGAAUGCAAUUAAGCAAAAGAAUUAGAAGUCUCUGCAGUGAAAAAGAAAUGUCCUGCCUCAGUACUUCCUCUCAUUCAAGCAGGGAAGAAGAACUUUGGUGUUGUGAUAAGGUAAAGCCUUUCAUUCCUCUGUGCUCUGAGCUGCGGCUGCCCAAAAACUGAGCAGAAUUUCAGACUUCAUUUCCGUGGAGCCAGUGUGCAUGAUGAUUUUAAGACCAGCUUUUCCUCUCAGCGCUACCACAUUUCCCUCUUGAGACUUCAACUCUCUGUGCAAAAUUGCAUUUUACAAGAUGUUCCACAUGAUCAAAAACUCACCCCAUUUCUUUCAAUUGGACUUUUCUGCUUCAUUUGUUUACGUUGUCUUUCCACCUCCAUCUAUAAUCACUCAGUUUGAUUGCAGAAAGCCCAUACGAGUCAAAAUCACUUGAUGUGAACUGAACAAGUCCCAUAAUGUGUAAUCCUGGUGGAGUAAGUAGUCAACAGAUUUAGACAUGAAACAGUUGUCAUAUUGGGAUGUGGUUAAUUAGUGAGAAUUUGCAGAUUUGAUGUUGCACUGGGAUGUUUCUUCAUUAUAAACACAAAGCCCAGUACAGGGUGUUCAACAGAGACAGACUGCCACAGAAACACUGUCAGAGAUGCAUGUUGGACUGGUUUUCACCACAAAUUACCCCCACAAUAUGAGAUGUAUGUUUUUUUUUUUUUUAUCUAUUUUUGACAGGAAUUUAACAAAGACUGUGAGUGUGAAAUGUUUCCAUGGCAAAUAUCUAGUCAUUAUCUCCAAGAUGUGAGGGAAAUAUUUCAUCACAAACACAGAAGAAGGAAGACAACAAAACAGCUUCAAAACAUUCAAUCUAAUCUUAUCCUUCUCAUUAAGCACUCUCCAGCGUCCUUACAACUAAAUCGCCUUGUAUUUGGUAUAAACCAGGUGUUAAUAUACAGCACACAACUUAUAUGGUACGUGAUCUAUGUGUGGAUCUAUAUGCAGAAAUUAAAAGGUUAUUUUGGUGUCCUGUUCAGUAAUAAAAAUCCUCACAAAAUUUGCCUUUUAGUAUUUAAAGAGGAGCACGAUCUUGCCUCGACUAACAUCACAGAACUUCUUACCCACUUACUGUACAGCUCAGCCCCUCAGAUCCUCACAUCAAGGCCUCUUAAUGAUCCCACUUCUGCAGCAAAACUUUCCGGAGACAGGUCUUUCUCUGUAGCUGCUCCAAGACUCAGGAAGAGUUUACCUCAAAAUGGAAGAAGAUAAAGAGCCGAAUCUCUUGACUCUAUUAAAAGAUGUCCAAGACUGACCCUAUAUGUACUGUUGAUGAAGUUAGGUGCUGUUUUGAGCAUUAUUUGUGGCUUUUUAGUUGAGGUUUGCGUGUGGAGACGUAGACCGCUGUGUAUUGCUAUUGUGCGGUCAUUGCUGAAGUUGGUAUAACUAAAGAAGCAAAGGGUCAGCAACAUUCAUCUCUCGAGGGGGUGUCUAACUCGGUGUGACGGUGUGUUUGACCCUAACUUAAUUUUACGCUGGAAUAUCCCAUUAACCUCUUUACCUAACACAGUGAUUGAAUGUCUGCAUGAAUGAAAACAUAAAAUUCUCCAUUCUUUGUUUGCACUGAUGAACUUCUGCACAUGUGCAUGAACUUAUAUUUUUAAUUUUUGUCUUCUCACUCCUUUCUGUUGGUUGUGAAGCACUUUGGCACAAACCUUUUGUUUAUAAAAGCACUCUGUAAAAUUGGCCUUGACCUUAAGUCAGUUGUACACAUUAAUCUGCAUUACACAGCAAUUUUUUUUAAACACACAAAGUACUGAAUAACCUCUGGAAAACUUUGGAAAGAGGACGAGGGAGCAGUGUUCAGCUUCUGCAUUUUGUUAGUGACAUUCUCUAUGUACUGCAUGUGUAUGAUGGUAAUAUAAAGUUUGUGAUGUACAGCCAAUGUUUAUUUUUAAAUUUUGGGGUAAAACCAGGAGAAUUAACAGUUUUCAGCUUAAAAAAAAGAGACCAUAUGUGAUUACACAUGCAUGCCUGUGGUGUUGUGUGGGCUGCAGGGUGCAAAUAAGGUGUUCAAGGGGAAUAAGCUUAAGGUUAUUUGAUAUCUGAAUGCUUUGUGAGUGUAAACAGAAGACCUUAGAGGAAAAGAAAUCACUUAAAACACCAAGGACUCACACAGAAAUCAAGGUUUCGCAGCUGAACUUGUGCGGUACAGCGAGCUUGCUGAUAGUUGUAAUUUGUUGAAAAGGUUCAAAGUUUAGUAAGUUAGCAUGAGCUCAGAUGUGAGCUGUUUGGAUUGUUACUUUGGAUCUUUGUUUAUAGAGGGUCAUAAAAGUGAUAGAGGGAUAUUCUUUGCUUGAGGGAUGCUAUAAAUAUUUACGACAGAAGAAACAACCUCAUAUUAAAACAUCAAGCUAAAGUCCGGGCACAACUUUGAAAUCCUCUUAACAAAGUUGUGAGGAAACCACAAUGAGGAACCAGCCGUGUCAGGUUUUCAUCUGCGGCUGUCUCUGCUGCUCAUCAUCAUUAAUCUAUCUUACUUUCUUCCUCACUAAGCAGAUGACACAUCUCAAGCGGAGAAGCAGAUGUAUGCGCUGAUUGAUGUGAUUUGUAGAACAGAGGCAUGCCAUGCGUGGAACAUUUUAUCCCUGUUUUGCUCAGUUAGUCAGUCGGUGUAAGACAGAUGUUGUCAGGAUGCCGAGGAUGACUUGACUUUUAAUUAUCUCUUCUUGGCUCCCUCAGUUCUCGUAAUUCAGGAAUAAUGUUGGCAUCAUUUGCUAAGUUUGACUCCCUCUGAGCAUUAAAACAUCUUGUCAUGAAACUUCGAGUGUUGGACUAGACUUUUAAUACUAGUUAAUGUUUUCAAGUACUCGCGCAGAGCUGCUAUGAAAAUUCUCCUUGAGUGGAGUUAUCCAGUUUUGCUCCAAGGUGCAAGAACCACACCUUCGAUUUGAUCAAACCUGGAACAUAAGAGACCUCCUCCUGUUCCAAAGUUGGCCUCACUGCCUUCGCAAUGCAUCCUUUUCAACCCCCUGUGAGACAAAAUAAAAUUGAUCAUUUUCAUUCACGAUCAAGUUAGCCAGCUUGUUAGUCAUUGGCUUCCAAUUUCUUAGGGUAGAGUCAGACAAGGUUAACAGGACUCCUGCAGGAGUAUUAAUGUUGACAUAUCUGUCUUCACUCAGCUCAACUUUUCUGAGCUUUGCAGUUAUAAGUUUAAACAUGAAUAAGGCAAAUGUCACACGUUUGAACAUCGCUGCUUUCAUCAUCUUGACUACCUGUAGUUUAAGUCAGCAACUCAAUAAUGCUCUUACCAGUUCUUCUGCUGUGGCCUGGAUUGUAAGACAGGAUCUACCUUUCCCUUGCAGAGAUGGUUUGGGCCCUGCAGCUCCUAACCCCCAAUUUUCACCGCAUGCAAAAAGGCCAUAUGCGACAAUCGCAGCUGAUCGUUUUCAUGUCAAUUUAAUAUGUCAAUUUCCACCGGAUUCUUUCCGUUCCGUUCAGUGGACUCUGCAGCCGAUCGCCAGAGUUCUAUUUUUUUGGAUGCCGCAUAAAUUCAGCACAGAUUAGCCCGGGUACAGACACAAAAUAAAUCAUCCAGCUUCUUUUCAAAAGAAUACACUUCGUGUUUCAGGCGGAUUGUAUUUCACACCAUGCAAACAGACGGGGACGAACAAGUGAAAGGUUUUUUCACCCCGAUGACACCAUGGAUGAGGAGAUGCUGAUUCAAGUAGUCUAGGAGUAGAUUUCCUCCUCUGGAAGGACACAAUCUACUGCUUAUAUGGUUAUGUGGCUGUCUUUAUAGAGACAACUUCUUGUGGCAUGAUUGCAUGUGACUCUGCGGAUUCUUCUGAGUUCUCGCUGUUCCCGCUGUCCGAAAUCCGCCACGAAAUUUGUUUCACAAACACAUCCGGUAGGAAUUGGCAGACGGUGAAAAUUGCCACCAUUCAGUGACAGAGCCGUUCCGGAUGCGGUGGAAAUCGGGGUCAGUCUUUUCUUAUGUUCAUGCCUUAUAUCCGUCCUUGUUUCUGGACUCUCUCACGACCAAUCCAAACAUGAACCAGACAUUUUUGCCACAGUGUUAAAAGGCGUGAGCCGACAGUUCAGAAUGUCUUUCUUUGGGUUGGUUUAUUAUGACAUGUGAUAGGUUUUACCCUGCUGUAGGACUGAAUCACUGUAGCAGUAAUUUUUUGUCCAAUCAGAAUCAAGUAAGUUCUAAGUACCUCUGAUGACCCCAGUAACAAAAAAAAGGUUUCCUUAUAAAGUGUGAGACAGAUCACAGCAGGGUAGGAAAUCCCAAUUCAAGCUCUUUUUCCUCUGCUGUUCUCAUGAUAUGACCUCAAAAACCGAAUACUAGUGGGUACUACAGUCUUCACCAGCGCAUCCUCUUUGUUCUACCGACGGACACAAACUUCUUUAGCUUGAAAACCCUGGAAAAUUGUCAUAUAGUCCUAGAGUUUAUUCUUCAUGUUAAUUGCUAUUCAUGCGUAUAUUACAUAUAACUUAACCUUGUUUUAAUUUGUAUAUCUGUAAUGAAGAUUUUGGUCACCAACUACAAUAACUUUCAAUUGAAAUAUUUACUUGAUACAUGGGUGAACUAGUUGAGCCAAGUGUUUAUAUAAUAUACAAGUAUAUACGACUACACUCACUCUUAAGAAAAACACAUGCUCCUGCUGGCCAGAAUAUGUGCAAACUUAAACUCUAUACUUGAGAGAAGUAUUUUAAAAAAUCUUCCUCGGUGGUGUCACAUUGCAUCAGAGCCUGUCGAGCACAGUUUCCUAAGCCAGAGGCAAACCUUAAACACAGUAUACCCCACAGCAUUUGACUUUUUACCUUUUUAUGUUUUUUUACCAUAAAAACUACAAAAUAAGUCUCGUAAAAAAACCUUUACAGUUUUGGAAAUCACUUUCAGAACACAUGGUCUUUCAGAAUAAAGCUUAAAAGAAAUCCUUUGUCAGGGUGCUGAGCCUCUAUAACCCACACUCAGAGGAUUAGAGUCUGAGUGUGUGUGUCUUGUUUGCUUUGUGUGUGCGUGCGUGUGUGUGCCUGCGUGCGUGUGUGUGUGUGAAUAGAGGUACAGUCAAGUAAGUGAGACGGUGCGGGUCAUAGGGGUCCACACCUGAACAAAACUGUGUCGGGUCAGACACAGGGUACUGGGCGGUGACGUGCUGCAUGAACAGGCCUUCAGGAGUAUCAGAGCUCACAGGAAGGCAGGUAACACAAGAGCAGGUCUGAUGUUUGAUAGUGGAAACAACCACAGAUGUAGCUGAAAGACCUCCGUGUAGUCUGUUCCAAAUCUUCAAGUCCAGUUGUCUGACAUUUAAAGCAACUGUGAGGAGUUUUUGAUUGGUCAUGUAAAAAAAAUUGAAAAGAGAAUUUUUGUCAUCCAACACCUCUUUUCACAAGGACGAGACUGAAUCAGCAACAUUUGAAGGGUUACCACUUUGUCCACAGGGGGCAUCAUAAUCAACCCAAUGGAAAGUUACUCACAGGAGCUUUAAGGCAUGUUUUUCCUGAUGUUAUCAUUAAAACUGGUUGUCCUUUACUCUAAAUAUGACAAUGACUUGCUUCCAUCACAAUUAAACUAAAGCUAGAUCUGAACUCAGCCACAAAUAAUUACAACUUAUUAUAAUUAUAACUAACAUUGUUGUUAAUAAAAGACAAAGACAAAAUUAUUUAUCAAAACAAAGUGCUAAUUUUGUCCACAUAAUUUAACUCUAAGUUUCUUUAUCCUUUAAUUUCUCUUUUUGUAUUUGUAUUUAUGCUGCUGUAAUUUUGGAAUUUCCCCCCAUGGGACUAUUAAAGGAAUAUUUUAUCUUAUCUUAAUCGACACAGUGGCUUUAAUGCAACACAUACUAAGAUUAUUAUUCUGCAAUAAAAAACAAAAGACUUUUUCAAAAGAUGGGUUUGUGGAUUUUGAAAAUGUAGAAAAAGUUAACUUAAUAAAAACUGACAGAUUAUUAACUUGUUAGAAACACUAAACCCCUGUAUAAAGGUGGUAACGAUGCAGACAGCUGUUCUUUAUAGCUAAAAUUACACCUUAUGUGGUUUCAUAAAGGUUAAUAUAAUUAAGCAGUAAUGAAAGCCAUGUAACAUUACAUGGGCUUAAAGCUGUAGAAAAAACAUUGCAUAUUUCAUGUAGCUGCCUUAUAAAAAUAUGCUGCUUGACUGCAAUAGUCUGCCCUUUUUAAUUUAUAAUAAAGUGAAACAUUUUUACAGCAAAUCUCUCAGGGUUCAGUUUUUAUCGCUUUCGCUGAUUUAUAUUAUAAUUUUGGGCACCAGUGUAAAUCAACAAUCACCCCUCAGCAAAUGAAGUUCCUUAAAGUGGUGGAGAAUCUGUCUGUAUAUCAGACCUACAAGUUUUCCCAUCCACAACAACAACAUGAUGGUGUUCCCUAUCAGCAAUUAUACAUGAACAUAAUAGAUCGUCUAAUGUCCUCUGCAUCUGCUGCCUGUUGGAGAGUGACAAGUUGAUUUAUGGGACUUGGGGGAACAGUGAAGAAUUAAUGAGGUUGAUAAGAUACUCGCCUCAAGGUCACUGUCCGCUGAUACUCAUACAUCUGCUCUCUGCCUGUAAAUCUGAUGAAUACAUCUUCUGAAAGCCUGACAACUGCCAGCACCAAUAUAUGUCCUCUUUAUGUACGUUUCAAUCUUAUUUAUGAAUGCUUGAAAAGUUUUGAAGCAGAGAGCAGAUACAGAAGUUUUGACUUAUCUAACUCAGCUAUCGAAUGAGUCAGUUGAGACUGUGGUUUGAGUCUGCAAAACAUAAGUCUGUUUUUCUUAGUUUCUAGUACGAAGCCCAGAAGGUGAUUUGAACUUUUUUUUUUUUUCAAUUCGCAUGUGCAAUUUGGUAUCUCACACUUGCAUAUUAUCAUAUUGUACAUGAGAUUGAGUAUCUCCCACUUGUGUUUCAUUAUAACUUACAUGAAAUUUAGAGUAUUGCACUUGCAUCGUAUUAUAUCGUACGUGCAAUUUAUUAUCUCACACUUGCAUUUUAUUAUAUCAUAUGUGCGAUUUAACAUUUCGCACUUGUGUUUUAUUAUAUCAUACAUGCAAUUUAGCAUCUCGCACUUGCAUUAUAUUAUAUCAUAGGUGCGAUUUAGUAUCUUGCAUUUGCGUUUUAUUAUAUCGCACAUGUGAUUAAGUAUCUCGAACGUGCGUCUUAUAUGUAUCUCGUACGUGCCUUUUCAUUUGUAUCUAGCGCAUGUGUUUUUGUAAAUAAUCCUCUGCACGCCUCAUUUGUAAGAGAAGGGGGACAGUGUCAUGGACAGAGAGCUUAUUAUCAACAUUAUCUUUUAUUUAGGUAUGACUCACAAAGAGAUACCUUAUAGCUUCGCCACAUUUGGUAUCGUUUUGAGUAGGAGACACCUCAUCAGGAUCCUUGAAGCUCAGCGACUUUGCCGUCGGUGAUAUUCGGACUUGCAGAAAGUGAUUUAGUUUAUCAUCGAACAGUUAAAUUGCACAUGCAUUUCACUAUAUUGCAGGUACGAUUUAACUGUUUGUUGAUACUGAAGAUACUAAAUCGCACGUGGGAUACACUAAAAUGCCUGUGCGAAUACUAAAAAAAUAUAUUUAAUGUCACCUCCAGGGCUCUGUUUUUUAGUUUUGGCUGAUGCAUAAAAUGAUCACAGCCCCUCUUUAAACAGUCCUCUUUAAACCUGUUGACAUUUUCUUUGCACUCACUGGUCCUUUGACCACGUUGGAGCCCAUACUACGCUCUGUCAUUGUCAGUGUGGUCUUUUAUUCAACUUCUUGCAUAUUUUAUUUCUAAGCCUCAUCUCUUUUUAUUUACUGAUGACUGCUUGGCAAUUAACCACAAAUAAAAAGUUUUGUACUCCUCAGAUAAAUCAUUUUUUAAAAUAUCCUCCAAGUUGCUAACCAAUUUAGAAAGUUAAAGUGAACAAACUUUGUUUUCACAGUGUCAGAAGAAUAACGUGUUUGUGUUAGCUCUUGAUUAGAACAGGACCAAUAAACACAAGCCAAAGAGUUACCUGUUAUGAAAACAGUCUUUGCAGAAUCUUAUCGUCAGGGACAAAAAGGUGUGAAGUUACUGGAUGGUGUCUGACUUUGGUCUUAAAAAAGCUUCUCAUGUUUGAGAGGUAUAAGAGUGACAAUAUCUGACUACAGUUUAUGCUUACAAUAAUUUCUGUUUACUGAUUUCUGUUUAAUUUUUACAUUUAGACUUAAAGCUUUACAGCAGCAAAAAUUUACUGUAUUGCAGAUAGAUAGAUAGAUAGAUAGAUAGAUGUGGUCCUCCUCUAGAUGUGGUCCUCCUCUGCAGACCCUUUGACCCUUCAUUCUGUGAAUCCACUCAGCAGACCCAUUACUUCUUUUAUUUUGUGCCUCAGGAAACAAGAUUUUAUUUACACCCAAAAUGAAACUGUCCCCGGAGGUCACCACUGAUUCCUUCAGUUUAACAGAGGCACCGGUGGCUGUACAGAUUUCAUUGAUCAGUCUCAGGAAGCUAAGAAGAUCCACCACGCUCAGCGAAAAGCCUCAGACUUGUUCCUGCGGAGGCCAUUAGUUCUCUGAUCAGAGGGAGUUAAGACGGAUGGUCUUUAUCGAGACUGAGACUGUUAAAUAGCGUAGCCUGGGUUUCAUUGAUGGUGCUGCUGAACGUGCCGCAGCUUUGUGAAACACCCGUCGUGACCCAGCAGGGAGCUCAGCGUGGCAACCAAGCAGGCUUCAUUACAUCCCAUUUUCUGACAUAGACACUUAGAUUAGAUGCUGUUGUUUGAGGAAUCCAAUUUAAUUUUACUGCUUUGCCUCAAGGACAAUAUCUCCUCGUUAUAUACUCUACAUGAACGCCUUUGUACUGCUCCUGCAUUGCUGUUGUGAUAAUACUGUCAUAUGUAGUUUUAUUCCCUCUAUUAGAUGCUUUUUUUAUCUAGAAUGAGCCUCCAAUAUCUGCAGGAAUAUCUCCGAGGAGGAAGAAAAAGGUCUAUAAUGUCAUUAUGCAGCAAUCUGAUAUAGCUGCAUACAAGUGUGAGAAUGAUUUAAUUUUUUUUUUCUUUUCAUACUAUCUAAAAAGGCCAGUGUUGGGUUUUGUACUGUAAAUGGAACUUUAAUAACCCACUUGAUUAAAUUCUCAGUCAGGGAUUGAAUGAAGAUUGGAAAAACAGAUCAAGAUAAAUGCACAGGACACUUUCAGGAAAGACUGCUUUAUAUGCAGAAAUUUGCAGGGCAACUUGUGAAAAGUAAUUAAAAAACAAAACAAAACCAAAAAUGUAUAAUUUUCAUUAUCAAUGGCCCGGUCAUUUAAGCUUCUACUUUAUUUAAACACUUUAUAUCAUAAAACAAUACCAGCUAUUAUAAUGAUAACUUCAUAUAAUAACUGCAACAUGAAAAUAUGUUCAUCAAAUGUGGUGUCAUGGAGAUUUUGUAUUGAAGAAACCUUUCAUAAUGAGCAGACCAUAAUCUGUGUAGACAUGAACUGCACUUUCAUAGACUUUCACAGCUCUCCCCUUAACCUACUCUGAUUUUUAAACAGAGUGAAAUUCAUACUGAUGCCUCUUAUUGACCCACGAAUCAAACUAGACCAUCAGUGACAGGAUUGAUUAUCUCUGUUUUAUUAAAUUCCUAAUAACACCACCGGCAUUGAUCAACAUCAGACAGCAAGACACACAGAAGUGCCUGUGUUUAUGUCCACAGAGAUAACAGUUAAUAGGGUUGAGGUUAGGUAAAGAUCAUUCAUCACAAUUAAGCAUUGAAUAAGUCUACUUUAAUAAGAAGAGAUGUAAUCUUAUUCUGUCUGAUGAAACCCUAACACUAGUCUCUGCGCCUUUAGCAUGCAGCAUUCAUCCUGACCUCCUCAAUACAACAGCAUGAAGAACUUAAAUGUACUUCUUAGUAGCCAGAAGUUAAAAAUUUCACAUUGUGUAAAUAACAUUUUUACAAAUUGAGACCUCACAUUCUUGAAAUAAUGUUGAAUACAAAUGAUUUUACUUUUCUAUUGACACUAAUAGACAUGAAUUUAACAGAUUGUAUUUGCAUUCGUUUUCUGCAAAAAUGCCCGAACUCAGCGAUAUUUGUUCGAUGUAGGUGCAACAUUUUCAAACCUCAGAGCAUGGAGCAGACAUCCAAGACUUACAGUACAGUACCUCUGACUGUGGUUCAGGCAGCUUUUAACUAUUAUUAACAUGCACACUAUGACUUGAGAGUUGGUUAUGUGUAACACCAGACGAGUGUUUGACUAUAAGAUAUAUACUGUAGGAAGUUAGGGGUGGGAGAAAAAAUCGAUACAGCAUAGUAUCGCGAUAUUUUGUCCGGUGAUAUAGCGUAUCGUCUCAUUGACCGGGUAUCAAUUUUUCAAAUGAAUUGCUAGUAUGAAGUCAAAUGUAUGAUAAUGGAAAAAUAAAAUCAACUGUUUGUCCAGUGGAGUUGGCAGAGGUGACAUUAUAGAGCAGGAGAAAGUUAGUACAACAAAUAUACACUAUAUAAGGUUUGCAAUCGGAAUAUAUUGUAUUGCAGUAGUCACUGUAUUGCAAGAUGUUAAAGAUAUUUAAUAUCGUAUUGUGGGGCCACUGGUGAUUCCCACCCCUCUAGGAAGUCUGUUGAUGUGACCACUGACAGAUUUUCAGGUUAGCAUAUGUUGGCAUUUUACGUGUCUGCAGUACAUCAGCAGACAACACCUCAGUAUGAGACCAGCAGGGUGUUGGCAGCAGGAAAUUUUUGUUUUUGUCUUUUUCUGUUAUGUGUUUUGAUGUUUCAUCUGCACAACAUGAAGCAGUGAAUCUCUUCGACUUCAGAGGUCUCUUGAAAUGUGUUUCUGUUUGUCACAUCUUUAUGUGAAUUCACCAGAGCCUGGUGUGCUACGAGAAGAAAAAUAUUCUCAGUGUGAACUAAGGACCAACUAAUUUUCUUUGUUUUCUUUCAGUCUUUCCCAAAAACUUUAGAAAAGCUGCCUUUUUCCAAGUUUUCUGCCGCUGUGAAUGUAGCAUACCUUUAUAGUUUCACUGCCAAUAAAACAGUGUUUCUGAAUAACAAUAUACACAACAACAAACCUGACCUCAUUACAAGAGAAUCACUUUUAAGAUGAUUAAUGCAGGAAUCAAGAUGAAGUAUGUGCAAAUGUUAUUUUGGGGUGAAGUUGAUAUAAAUUGAAUUAGACAUUUGCUGAACAAAGUUCACAGAGUAAAGCUUCUUGGGCAGCUCCUGGAAACAUGAUUUUUUAAUAUGUGUUUGUUAUAAUGAAUAAAUUAUCUCUAUACGACACAACAAACAAUGAUAUGUCAUACACUUAUUUUAAAUUGUUAAAAGUACCUAACCACACAUACAAGUUUCAUAGAGUGACUCAGUUAGCCAUGCUUGUGAGCCAGCAUGCACAAUAUCAAAACCUAAAGGCAGCUCAUCCAUAGACUUAUCAAUGACUAGAACAUCUACCAUCUCAGGUGAAGCCACAAUUUUUAGAGCUCCCCCUAGUGACUGGCUGCAGUACAUGUCAUAAAACCACCUCCUCCAGAUCUAUUCCAACAGAUGGGAUAUGGAUCAAAUUUGAAAACUGAAAUACUAUUUAAACAGGAAUUCAAAGACCUGUUUGGUUACUGUUGUGUCGGACGGCAAUAAGGUUUUAAAUUUGACACGAAAAAGAGUGACUUGAAGCCAGUCAGGAGAUGAAAGCGGAGUGACAUUUGCUGUUUAGGAUCGGUUGAAGACCAGAAGCUGCUGCAUUUUGGAUCUUCUGCAGAGAUUUGAAUGUACAUGUAGGGAGAUCUACUGUAAGGAGUUGUAGUGGUCCAUGAGUCCACGAGAGCCUGUUCCUGUUCUUUCUCAUGUUAUACAAAUUGAUGCCACACAAACUGUGAAGGUUAGAUGGUCAUCAAUCAUCCCACUCAAGUUCCAGAUUGAUUUAACGGGCAUAUAUUUAGAGGGCUCAAGCUGGAUAUAGAUCUGUGGUUUCUUCUGUGGAAGGACUGGCUGGAAUGACAAGAAGCUCCGUCUCAGACAGGUUGAGCUGAAGGUGUCUUUCCUCCAGUCUUUUUGAGAUAUCCAGGACGAGGAGUUGGGCAUCAUCUGCAAAACGUUGGUAUAAGAAAUCAUGAGAACUGAUAUUGAUGAGAACUCAUGACAAAUGAAGAAUGGGGGGUGGAGGGAGAGAGAAAUAUUGCUGUAGAGGUCAAAAGGAUGAUGGAGAAAGACGGUGAUCAAGGGCCAGCUUGAUGCCAGAACAACAUGAGGAAUCAGAAGGGUUGAGACUCUGAAUGGAAAGGCUGCCUUUAUUGAUGUUAGUAUGUAGCUCCCAGUUGUUCUAGGCAAAGAGGGAAGGUGAAAAGGGGAUUGGAUAGGAAAGAAAAAGGUGUGCUUGAAUAGACAUGGCAUGGAAGUGGUAACUUAUUGGAAUGUGGUCUUUGUUUUACACCUGGUUGUAAAACUAAAUAACUGUUUUUUAAAAAAAAUGUCACAUUGCCAUCAUUGUCCAAUGUUCCCUUCUCCCUUGUGACAGCAGCAGGACAAGAAAAAGAAUAUAAUUUGAAAAUAUGGGUAGACAAGAAAACAUAUCUCAGAGAACUUCGAGUAAAAACAGACAAACACAAAAGAGCCGAGUCGAUCGCAGGUAGAAUCACCAAAGAGCAGACAACCACAUCCAUACCCUCAUCUAAGGCAUAGGUAUUCAUAUAUACAGGCCUAAGUCUGCACAGUCUCCCCACAGACAUUGAAUCACACUGCAAAUGCAUACUGCCAAUACAUGUAGAAAAGAUUUACACGUUCUAGAUUUCUUUUAUAAUUGGAUGGUUCCAAUGAUAUGGGAUUAACCGUUUCAUAUAUGAAGCUAUAAAUUCACCACAAAUUUUUGCAUUGAACAGUUCACUCAGCAGUGGGACCAGAUGGCUUUCACACAGGAUACUAGUACAGAACACCUGGGGGUUAGACUGAAUGUUAGAUUCAUCCUUUUUUUCACCUAUUAGCCCCUCAUAAUGAAGACAAAUGAAGAGCAAAGCUUGUUAUUUAAUGAUCCUGUUGGCUCUGUUUCAACCUCUCUAAUCAUAAACCGGACACUAAUAAUGGGGAAAUGUGCUCUGGGUGCAAGCAUGUGAGGACAGUUACUGUAAGGUUAUUUAGCUAUAAUACCUGUCUAUUUCUUCCCACUACCACUGUGUACACUCAAGUCUAAAGGACAACUUUGGUCCAUUAACUUUCUCUCCUAACAAAACUUACUUCAAAUGAGCAGUUCUGUCUCCUCCACCUCAUUCUGCAGACUGAACAUCUGUGCCUGAAUGUGUGCUGAAAGCUCUGGCAACAUAUGGUCUCAUAUUGUUCAUCAGGCAUGAGUGCUUUACUGUAUAUCAGGGGCUGAUGCUGAAUUAGCAACAGAAAGAACAAAGUCAGUGUGGCUGCAAAACUUCUUUUCAAGGCCUUUUUUGAGAGUCUCUCGGUGAUUUAUGGAGUGAUGCUGUUUUCUGCAGACUCCACGAGAAACUUUUUAAGUCAGCUACACAUGGAGCAAAAUGAUGCGUUGGCUUGAAAUAACUUUUUUUUUAUUAGUUUGGUCAUCUAUGUAUUGUUAAAAAAAGCACAAAACAAUAGAGGAUUAAAUUAUUCAUGUGGAUUUUACCCUGAAACCGUGUGAAAUAAAAACCUCUGGAGACUCUGGCGCAUGGUGUGCGGUGUGUGUGUGCUGGAUGUUUUUCAUGAUCCCUUUUAUUUCCAAGUUAAUUAUGCCUACUAUAUUAAGCUAUUAAAGGGAGAUUGGAGCUAUUUUAGGUCUGCUAAGCAGCACCUUUCCAUCUCUAAGCUUACUUUUAUUUGUGUUUCCAUCCACAACUCACGAUCCUGACUUCAUAGCUGUGUCUAAUAAAAGGAAACAGUGCGUUCUCAGUUUAAAGCACCUCAGUGGAGGGAGAGGUUAGAUGCUCGUUUCCCCCCGAGCAACAAAGGAAAUGGGGAAAGUGGGUAGGAGGUGUGAUUGGAAUCUGGGGAUGGAGUCCCUAAUCAAAGCUUCACCCGGAUCUGUAACCAACUUUAUCAGCUGGGCGUGGAGAGCUCCUCCCUGCUCGCCCUGAUGCCACAGAAAUGCUAACCUGCGGUGACCAGAGGGAACAAAGAUUCACACAUUAAUUCGUUUUACUUUUAUGUUCUCUGGCUUAAUGAAAAUCAAAUCAAAACUCAGCCAGGGGCCGCUCUGUCUCUCUUUCUUUCCCUCUCUGCUUCAUCCUCGUGCUCCAUCUCUUCUUCCCCGUGUCCCUCGCUGUGCCGCUUUGAAGUGUAAAUCAGAUUCUACUGAUGUAUGAAAGUAAAGCGCAGACUGCACACCAGAGACCGUUUUACAGCUCUGAGGGCAUGCAGGGUGCACGCAGAUGUAAGUGUAUCUGUACACCAAACAUUUUAUAGGUCAAUAUCGCAUUAUAAAGAAGUUAGAGCAUCUUAGUGUGUCUAUUAUAUACAACAAAGCUUACCGAAAAAACCCUGAUAUUAAAAUUUAUGAUGAUACAUAACAGCAACACUCUCUUUGGACAGACCUAUUAUUUUUCUCGUUGACUUUAAUGAACAAAUCACAAUAACUGUUUGGAAAGUUAUUUUGUUUUGUUAUUUCUUAUUGUCUCUCAGUUUACGUAAAGUGUUAACUUCUUUUUAGAUUUAUGCAAAUAGAUUUCACAGGUGGAUGAAAAGAGGCAGAGUCAAUUUUAGUUGUAAUUUUUAUUAUGAACAAAAGAAAAUCCACUGGUUCUAAUUCUUUUUAAUUGAGCUCAUCAGUUCUCCCAAAUCCCUAUAAUUUCUGCUUCCUCUCAUUUACAGGUUCUCCCAUGUGAUAGAUUUCAUAAGGGAAUCAGAGCGAUAAGGGAUAAUGACUUUCACCUGGGUUUAUCUCAUCAGUGUUCUCCAAGAAAGGAGGAAGUUUUCAGAUUGCCUCAGACAUCUGGGCGAGGAUGAAAUACUUGAUACUGUUAUCACUUCCAUGUACAUCCAACUAUGUAUGUUUCGCUCCUGUUUUGUACACUUUUGACUACAAAACUGUUUGCUUUCAGUCAUGUAUAUCCCUCCUUUUCUUCAUCCAUCAGCUGUAUGUCUUUAAAGAGCAAAGUCCAUCCAAAACUGGGUUACAGUACUGAAUAUAUUAACCAUGUGCUCUGUGAGGAUGAGAUUGAAUCAUUGUGUUUUUGGUAGAGCUGUCAGCAAUGACAUGUUAAUCUGGGUGUAAUUAAGGCUGAAAUUAACACAUUAAUUUUUUGAAAUUGCAUGACAUUUUAUUUCCCUUUUAGCACACUGUGGUUAAACCACAGCUGUAUUUUCCCUGCUCUCUCUGCUGCUGUCAUGAGGGAAAGUAAUGCACUACUGCACUGUUGCAUGGCACAUUUACUGAAAAACAAAACUCCCAUAAGGCUUUGUUGAUAAGUCAGAAGUAAUACCCACUUUGUGCCAAAUGGCAUUAACAUACAAAGUGCAUCAAAUUUGAGGUAUAACCUGCAAGCUUUGCAUGUAAGUACAAACUUAAGUCAGCAGCCAAUCACAUCACAACAUUAUUUUGCAGCAUGCAACUCACCACAGACCUGUGACUUGGGCCUAAGGGACUUUCUCAGGUUGAUAUGUUGAGAGCAGUCAUAUGCCUCUCUGUUGCAGGCCGUAAUGGUUUCAUGCAUAGUAGCUUUGCCUGGUUUCUUUAGCAUAGAGACCAAACACAACUCACUAACUCUCCUCCAGCAGUCACUUGUUUGUGGGGGAGCCCUGACGAGUUGAUCACCAAGUGCAGCGGAGUUUCGCAGCUCAAGAAAGAACAUUUAUGAUUAUUACUUCGUGGAAAUGCAAUCGACCGAGUUGCUAAGACAGAAUAACUACCGCGUCUGCAGCGGAUCAUUUCCAUGAAGUAAUGAUCAUAAAUCUUCUUCCUUGAGCUGUGAAACUCCAUUCUACUCUGUGAACGACUCGUCAGGGCUGCCCCACAAACAAGCUGCUGCUGGAAGAGAGUAGGUGAGUUAUGUUUAGUCUCUUUGCUAAUGAAACCAGGCAAAGUUAAAAAGAUAUUUGGUGGCUAUAUUUACUGUUGAUGAAGUUAGGUGCUGUUCUGAGCAUUAUUUGUGGCUAUAGAGUGGCGACAGUAGCUCAGGAGGUAGAGCGGUCGUCCAAUAACUGGAAGGUUGGCGGUUCGAUUCCCCCCUAUCCCAAGUCUGUCCGUUGUGUCCUUGGGCAAGACACUUAACCCACCUUGCUCCCAGUGUGUGUCCUCCACUGGUGUAUGAUUGUGAGUGUUGUGUGGUGGUGGUCGGAGAGGCCGUAGGCACAAAAUGGCAGCCACGUUUCCGUCAGUCUGCCCCAGGGCAGCUGUGACUACCAAGGUAGUUUACCACCACCAAACUGUGUGAGCGAAUGAAUGAUGUAUCCAAUGUAAAGCGCUUUGAGGGUCUCUGAUAAAGCGCUAUAUGAAAUGUGAUGCAUUAUUAUUAUUAUUAUGUUUUGGUUGCGGUUUGCGCAUGGAGAUGUAGUCCGCUGUGUAUUGCUAUUGUGCGGUCGUUACUAAAGUUGGUAUAACUAGAAAAGCAAGCGGUCGGCAACAUUCAUCUCUCAAGGGGGUGGCUAACUCAGUGUUACAGUGUGUUUGACCCUAACUUAAAUCUACACCUGAAUAUCCCUUUAAUGUGCAAAAGUGUUAUCUCUUUUAAAUAUUCAAUUCAAUUCAAUUCAAGCUUUUUAUUGUCAAUUUGUGCUGUAUGUGAGUACAUGGGACAUACCCAGGAAUCAAAAAAGAUGUGUCUCUCCAGCCUACAGUGCAAAAUUACAGAGAAUUACUUUUGAAAAAUACAAAAAAGUACAAUAAAGAAGAGCAUAACACAGAAGGAGAGUAGUUUUUGUGUCUGCAUGUACCCUCAUGCUUACUUUGUCUAUGUAUACGCACAUACAAACCUAGAGACCUAUCAAAUAUAUUUAAUAUACCUAAAAGAUAUACAUAUAUUUAAUAGAAUAAGCACUUAAAAACUGUCUCUCAUUUCUGAGCCGUGUUUAGAUCACAUUGCAGCAGUGCAACAUUUAUUUGAAUUAUAAAUCUACAAGUCAAUAAUGCUCAGUACAUUUCAUUGCAGUCCCAAAUCAAAUGGGAUUGAUUGUGUUUUAAAAAUUAAUGCACUGUUUUGGAGACUCUUGUUGUUGGACAAAAAAAACUGAUGACUGGUGGUUAAAAUAUGGAAAGUCAUGCAUAUGUAAUGUAAACAGAUGCUUCAAGCAAGGGUACUAUAGUCCUGGUAACUCUGCUAAAGGCAACAUGGAUGUGAAAUGACUGCAUCCAUGUGAGGUCAACAAGACUAACAAUUAAGCAAGCGAGCCAGCAGCUAAUAAAUGCAGGAUAUGCAGAAAAAAACACACUGGAAGAAAAACAAAAACUCAUGUAUUGAUUUCAUCUUCAGCCAAAGUCUGAGGAAAUCUCCCUGAAGCUAGAAUAACAUUAAUGUUUGUAUCGAUUCAAUGGCUGCUGCCAUCCCCUAAAAUAUUAGCAUAUACAUCUUUACUAGUGAAUUGGGAGCUUUCAGAAUAUUCAUGUAAUUAAUAGGUUUGUUAGACUGUACUUUUCAUGCAAAUCAAUGUCCAUCCAUCUUAUUUUAUCACAGUUUGUGUAGCUCACCUCUCCUUUCACUUCCUGCUUUUGUACGUUUCUUGUCUGUGUGACUUUCUGCUGUCCUCUGAUUGGUUUAACGUGUGUCUGAUGAGCCUCAUCCUCCCAGUGAAUUUGACUGUGCCCAUUCUUCUUUGUGCCAUGUGGUCUGUAAUUAAGCUUUUCCUCAUGUCUCUCUAUUUUAGCCUAUAGUUCUCCUGUUUUUUUUUUUUAAUUAUUUCUGACUCUUGAUUUUUUUUGACUGCCCUUCACAUUUGUUUGCCUGAAUUGGACAGAUUUUCCAGUAAACUCUUGCCUGUUUUUGCUCCGUAAGACUUUUAACUUAAUAUAGAUUUUUUUUUCUUUUAAUCUGACAGUGCAGCAGUCUGCUCAUGUUCCCCCCUGUGAUGCCCUCCUUCUUUAGACCAAAUGAGAUUUUCUUCUUUCACAUCCAAGCUUGUGUGGUCUCCUCUGUGUAAGAUGCUUACCAUGACCCCAUUCUAAUGCAUCAACUAUCCCUGUAACAGCUCAGUCAAUUAAAUCCUCCAUGAGGCAGUAAGGUUAGACCUUUAUCAUGAGCAGAGCUGACGGUCACACAAAACCCAAAUACUAGUCUUUACCUGCACUCUUUCUACCUUAACCCUACCUCGAUAAAUAAACCAGAAAAAGGUGCACCAGUUUGAGGCUACACAUGCUGUUAAAUUAGCAAUAAACAGCACUCUAAUCUAUAAGAUAUUGAUCAGGCAAGACUGGUGUGAGCCCCUUGAAUCACUGAUAAUUGAUGUCCCUCCGUUACCGGCAUGUACAGUUUAUUUUGUCUGCUUUUCCCUACAGUUUACCUCUAGCACUGUGUUGUUGUUCAAAAAAGAGUAAAAGUAAAGUUACCCCAUUUUCCUGCCUUCAUUAUAGUAGUGGUAAAAAUAACUCCAAACAUUCUGUAGAUUCUCAAAGGAUACUAUGCCUAAUUAUAGAAAAAGAUGAUUAAAUUGGACCAAAUUUAAAAACAGCUGACUGGAUAAUCAGACGAAUGAGUACACACUUUACCUCUUGAGCCGUUUGUGUCACUCUUUAUUCAUUCAGCAGCUGCUUCAGAGUCGUCAGGAGACCUUUGGCAGAGGUAUCAAAAACCCAUAAAGAUACAUGAAUCUCACAGAGAUGGAUUUUACAGUAUGUUGUUAAAGUAGAUAGACAGUUAUUUCAGUAGAUUACAUUAAAUCAGGCUCUGUCUCCUCUGGUAGAUUUUGUUUCUGAGCGACUGCAGCUGUUUAACAUGCACCACAAUUAGUCAACUGCACACAUAUACAGUAUGAGGGACUUUGAUUUAUUUUUAAGGGCUGUGCAGUCAGCAGUUUGUUCUCUGUACGCCACGCCUGCAUCUGGUAAUUUACGGAGUCAUCAGUCUUUUUAUAUCAGCAAAUGUAUAUUUGCUUUUUCUUUGAUUCAGCACUUGUAUGGAGUUAGAUUUCUCAGAUUUGUACCAGCUGAUUAUGAAUUGCUCUACAGGAGACAGUUCAUAUGUGUACGUAAGGGUGAAUUAAGUCAUGAAGACACCAAAAGGUCCGUUUUCUGAUACGAACCAAAGCGAGGAUGAUGCAUUGUUGCACUUUCUCAACUGGUCCGGUUUCCGUUUGCAAAGGUCAAACUGUCACGUGUCAGCAAAAGCCGUUCACAGAAGACAACAGGCAAAAAUUCGUAACUCCACAUUUGUCCCCCAUAGAUAUGUAUAAAUAUAUAUAAACGCUAGAUGGAUUACACACGCUGUUAGCCAAUGGAGACCGACGUCCGUACAUGGCGAUCAUCUUGCUACAGGCCGCUUGCCCACUCAUAACAUUUCAGUCUAUGGUGCUUUUAGCAUUUAAAUAACCAAAGAUUGCUUAAUUUUAAACCGAUUUUCAAAGAUGUAUUCAACAAACCAAACAGCUUGGAAAUCAUGUGCAACUUAAGUUGUGUUGAAAUGAAAGAGCAUUUCGGCCUCUCCAACUGAUGCAAAAUUGUCGGGUCAACUUUGUAAUACGUACUUGGUCUCACUUACAGUGAGUCUGUUAGCCAAGUUAGACAGCUGAUAAACACAAGCACAUUUACAAAGACCAUCACUUAGACAAAAAAAAUAUGCUUUCAUACAAAAAAUUAAAAUCUCGAUUGUGGUCUCAGCCUUGAUAACUCAUGCAAAGCGACUCAAAGCCAUUGCGCACGAAAAUAGCUGUGAAACAACUGUGCUGCACCUAAAAAAAAGACAUUUCAAUAUGUCCAAUCAUCCCGGCUCUUAGCCACAUUAUCAAGGUCUGUAACAAACAAAACCUUUUGUAAAUCUGUCAAGAUUUCGGCGAGGUAAGAGUAUUUUUGAUCAUGCAAAUUGCUCACCUUCCAUCAGCUACCAUACAAUCUACCAGAAUGGCAUACUGAAGUAAGAUGGCCGCCGUGUACGGACGCCGGUGACUCAGCCUAUAUUUAUCUAGCCUGUCUUAUAUAUGACUAUGUUGUCCCCUGCCAGACAUUAGCCGUAGUUUGCUAACUAUGCCUCUGAACAAAACAGGAUAUGACGUGUGAAAUGGCGCACGUCUUGGGAUUGGUGCUCACCACACCAGUGUUGUUUUCGUCAGGCAGGACGAAAACUUAAAUGACGACGUCAGACCCCUUUUUUCCUUGACGAAAAUGAGACUAAGACGAACGUCACCAAAGCUCUGUAAAUACUAAAAGGUGACGAAAAUUGUAUUCAUUUUCGUCAGACGAGAACGAGACGAGACUAAAUUGUUAUUAGGUGGACGAACAAAGUUUCAAAACAUGCUUUUUUUUGUCCUAACAGUCACGCCCCCAUCACACACGCACCAAAAGCCUCGCUCGCGCACAGCUGCGCGCACACACUCAUACACAUACACAGAGCGGCAGGUGGACGAGGCGCGCACACACACACACCGUGGCGGCAGGCACAGCAGCGGUACCCGGUGGCCGAAAAAAGAGGGAUGAUUUAUGGUCCUACUUCAGAUACAGUCCAAGUGACAAUAAAACGCAAUGUCUUGUACGGGGACGGGGAGACGAGACAGACGACAGUUGUGGAGCCACAGCUUCCUCAUGCUGCGGCUUCAAACUGUCGGGAAAGAACACCACGAACCUCAAAAGACACCUUUUCGACGACUAAAAUUAGACUAAAACCUUUUGAGUUUUCGUCGGACUAAAACUAGACGAAAAACUAUCAAGGAUAGAAAUGACUAAAAUGGGACUAAAACGAAGAAGCAUUUCGUCAAAAUGACUAAGACUAAAACUAAAUCUUAAAUGCCUGCCAAAAACAACACUGCACCACACCAGGAGUAAACUGCUCUAGAGUUCACUUGAUAGCAGUUGAUUGGUCGGCACCAGAGUUCAAGGCCAGAAUUCACACCAACCAAAAUGAACCGCACCAAGGCGGUAAACACUCCAGGGUUCAGUUCAACUGGACUAAACAAGGCUGGUGUGAGCGCGACCUUAUUCUACGCCUUGCUUAAAGAAGGUACCACUCCCUCCUGGGGGACUUUGACCGUGACCCUGUUUGUUCAGAAAGAAAAUACUGUCAUGAAGUGUAAAGAGACAGAACUUACUAUGAGCAAGACACACACACACAUACGCUCACACACUCACUCACUCACACAUUCCCAAACAUGAUGCGUCAGAACUGCCCAAAGAUUUUCUGCAUUCAUUACUAAGCCAGUCACCCACAGCAAAGAGAUAUCACCUUUAAUAUCAGUCAAACUUGUUAAAGUGGAUUUUCUGCAUGUUACGCCUCAUUUGAUGAGUUUUACAGACAAAUUGAGGUUUAGUGUGCAAUAUUCAGGCUUGUUAAGGAAAAGCGAAUCACUCCUGGCUUAGAGGCUUAUAAACAAAGGGAUUUAAGACAGAUUAAUUUUUUUUUUUUCUAUCAGGAUUGAAUUUAAAACACUCGAGGGUGAGAAGAAAGGAGGGGACACUCAUAAUUUAAGAGGAAUAGAGUGUUUGGGGAUAAAGAGAUUUGCUUUGUUCAUUGGCUGUGGUUUAACUAAAAGAAGCCAUUCUGUAUGUCAAACUAUUAAAAGCUGAUACACAAAAUAUAUUCUGGUAGGGGCAAAAAAUGGUCUUAAUUGGCUUAAAAUUCAUCCAAGCCUAUAAUGCCACACAAUUUCUUUUGUCAGAACCAUGAAAGGAUUUAGUCAUCUUCACCCACUGAAAAAAUAACAACUGAAUAAGCUUCGGGAUUCUCAUUUUGUGUGACAGAUCUAUAUGCACAAUGUCAAAUACUGAAUAUUUCUCUUCCCCGCCAAACUGCUGAGUUUGGAAAUUUCACUUCAUUCCUGCAUGAGAGAUGAAAAGCAUCCGCAGCUAAAGUGGAGAAAGUAGGGCAAAGAAAAGCGAUUUAUGUGAGGCAUUAGAUACUCCAUUAUAAUGGUCAGCGAUGAUGAGUUCAUAUCUGCGCCUCACUCACGCGGUAAAAGGCCACCAGAUAUUAAAAAAUCAAAUGUGCACAUCUUGCAGUUUAUCUAAAAUACACACGGCUUUCAGCUAUGUGCAGAUCUAAGUGCAUAAGAUAUGAAAUAUGAGGGUUUAACUAUAUUUAACAUCUAUUAUUCCAGCAGAUGAAACUUGGUGAGUUUAAAGCUACAGCGCACUCGCAUGUCCAGUUAAGUAGGUCACUUCUUGCAGUGCUUAACAUGCUAGCCCACAUAUAUUGCCAGAGGGGGUUCAGUUCUAAUGAUUAUUAGUUUUAGGAAUACAGUAGAUGUGUAAAAGGAGUUCCUCUAACUAGCACAUUCACCAUGUAAUAUUCCCCCAGUGUGGGAAAACUGGAUGAUAUUAGAUCAUAUCAGUUAGGCUACCAUUAGGGGCUCUGCCAGCUCUCUAUUGGAUUAGGGGUUUACACUGCAGCAGCAGCAGCUCUUGAGUCGUGUUAACCUACAUUUGCAAAAUACAUCAGUUACUACUCAACCUUACAACGUUUUCACAAGUACAUCAAAAUACUGAGCUCUAAACUGUGACGCAGAUCUUUGGUUUUUUUUUCAUCUCAUCUAGAUGAAACACGAGCAAAGACUCAGAUAUUUUUAGAUCCCUCUGGUAGCCUACGAAUAAGCUUUAGCGAGUAUGUAUGCCAGCAAGUGGUAGCAUUAUUUUACCUAUAGAUGGUGUUUUCAACUGACUCACAUCAAGAAUGAGUUUAAUUAGCAAGCAGAUAAAUUCGAUGUGAGCAUAUGGAGUUGAAGAGCAGAGGUUAGUUGGUGCGGACUUACCGAGUGUUAAUUUCCUCACUGAUGAUGACAACAUGAUGUGAACUAUUUCUGUUCCAGCUGCAGAAAACUCUUCAUUUACAGUGCUUGGCAUAAAUAAAUACAUCCAUUCAGAGUUGUCAGAAAACCUUUAGUUUCCUUUCAAAAUCAACAUUUUCUAUGUCAGACUUUACAAUAAAACACUCCUCCAAAUGUAGGCCAUUGAUUGCAAACAAGAUUUUUUUAAGUUGCAUAAAAAAAAGUAUUUUUUUUUUUUUUUUCAAUUUAAAAAUCAGGAUGCAAAAAAUGAGUACAUGCCAAUCAAAGUUCUGGGAGCAAAGCUAAAUUUUAGUCACCAUAUCACCCUUAUUUUCAUCUUAUGGUAAAAUGUUUUGUUAAAUUAGCUUUGUCAAAAUUUUGGAAAUCGUACUUUUGCUCAUCUAGAUAUUGAGUAAUACAUCACGUUUAUUAGCGGGUGUACUGACUUAAGCUGGGCACUGUAACUGUAUAUGUUUGCUCCAGUCAGAAUCUGAAAUCUCUCACCUUGUAUCUGCACUUGUAUUCUUAGUAUAGGUGAUAGCUCAAAUUUGGUGGAUGUUAGUGAUAUGUUAAAUCAGUUUGACAUAAAGUGAACUUUUUUUUUUUCUUUUUAAAUUGACAACAGAGCUAUCUAGGAGAGAAAUGCUCCAAAUAAAAGUGCAGUGGUGUUAUUAUUUUUCUUCAUAGUAGCAGCAGGGAGCGUCAUGGCUGAACCACAGAGAGCAGAAAGGAACAAAAUCCCAUCAGAUUAAAAAAGAUUUUUGGGAUCAAACUUGCAAUAAACACACUGAUGAAUGUGACAGCCCCACAUUCAGAAUUCCCCAUUUUUUUAAAUCUUUUUAAGUCCCACUCCGAUUAUUUUUUUUACUGUUGUAAGUGUUGUCAGUGGUCUUUAAGUUGUGAUCAUGAUCAUGACAUUUUUAGCCAAAAUCACAUUACCUGUAUCAUUUUCAUGGGUUUUAGCUUAUUAGCAAUUCACCUCUGAGUUGUGGGUGGAGACAGCGCUGCUCUGCACACUCCUCUUCACGUUAGCUUGUAGCCUAACAUUGUCAGUGUAGUAGAAGAAACAGGUAACAUAGGAGCUAUUCAGCUCUUGGACACUAAUGUCUUUAGAGGCAUGACGAAAGUUAAUAUCAUAAUUCGCUUUCUUACGAGCAUUUUAAUCCGCUAACACACACACUUGUUAUUCAAUCGCCCUCUCUCACUGAAAAUCUCACUGAAUCUGAGCCUGCCGUUUGGGUCUGCCAGAGGUUCACAGUGAUUUGGAUGCAUAAAUACUCAGAAAUGCAAAUUUGCACUUCUGUUUCUCAUGUCUUCUAGUAUCAGAAAAAUGCCACAUGUAGACAACAAGAAAAACAUGAUUUUCAUUGAAAUGGGUCUUAAAGUUUUUGGCUCAUGGCUCCUACCUUCUCUGUAUACAGCCCAGGCUACAAUAUAUUGGUAAUAACAACAAUAUUUUUUCUGCGAGUUUUGAAACGGAGUCAAACAUAAAAAAGAAGAAUCCAUAGUCCAUAAUCUGCCUUCAACAUCCUUGAAAAAUAUCUGACUGUCUCCUGAAAUAAGUGCAUUUUAAAAGCCGAGCAAUAUGUCACAUUUGUUGUUGCUGCUGCUUUCAAAUGAGAAUAAAGAGACGUUUGCAGCAGUCCUCUGUAACCUCUGUCACAAAGUGUGUUUUGAUGAUUUUAUAAUAAGGUUGAGUCAUCAGGGCAUCUUUUAAAAAACAAUGUUUGUGUUUUUCUUUGACUAAAGGAUAUUAAUAGAGUUUAAGUGCAGAGGCAGUGCAUUUGGGGGCCAAUCCUUGUCAACAUCAGCUGUUUGUAACAUCUGGGGAGAGAUUUGUGAUUAAAAUGCACUUUUGAUUUUCUUCAUCUGCAGUUUUGUUGUCAGCAUGUAUUAAAAUCAGCAGUCAAAGAUAAAAAAAAAGAGAGCACUAUUUCAUUUUUUUCUGUUUUUUCUCCAACAUUAGGCACAGCAGAUGACAACCUUACUUGUCUCCUCGCUGCAUGCACGGAGGAUGCCCCCUGCUCCCCUUUUCAGAGCACCAAACUGAACUUUUGAACUCUAUUUCCUCCUAAAGCCCAGGUGAGCCAAACAAUGUUUCCCUUUCAAUAUUCUCUCAAACCCGCUGCUUCUCCAACCUUUCACCGUCACUUUUCUUUUCAUCAGUUUCUCCUUCUGCUUUUGAAAACCGCCUUCAUUUUGCUGAACAGCUUCGCCUCUAAUUGGUUACUCCCCUGCAUUUAGCUUUUCAUUUUUUAGCUAUUUUUCUGAACUCAGUCAUGUUGUGGAGCCUAACAAAUAAGUAGAGACGCACAUCUUGUGCUCUAACCCAAUAAAAGCUAUCCUGCGACCUGUGGCUUCUUAUUUUUUGUGGUUUUAUUGAAAGAGGAUGAGUAAUGCACUUCACUGGAUGCUUUUAGAGGACUGCAUAUCAUCAAAACUCGGAGAACUGACCCCAGAAUACACAGCGAGCGGAGAUUAAAGAAAUUAAUCUUGGAGGGAAAAGAUGUUGUGCUACAAAUGAGAUUUCACCAGGUGUACACAUUCGACUUUGACCGGAGCAAAGUAGGAUUUUCUUUUUCUCUGUGAGAGCACAGUCAGUGAUGCUGGCUCGAAAAGAUGAAGUGGACACCUGUCAUGAGAAAGAUUUGCAGGCAGACGCAAUCUUGUACAGAAGUCCUGCAACAGUUACGACUGGGUUGAUCCUGAAGCAGAACUCAAAUAUAUCAUGAUCUCUCUUCAGGUUCGUAACCACUUACUAUAGAAAUAUGCAGGGUUAUCCUUUUGCUUCAAGAGUCGUCUGUUAUGUGAUUUAGGUCACAUGAAAUUGUACUAAAGCUGCUCUUUUGGUAAAUGUCCCUCUCUGAUGUUUAAGUAGAUGAAUUCCUGUUUGAACUCUAAGUUAUGGGAAAAAUUUCUCACUGAAAUUAUUUGACGAGCCUGUCUGAGGUUGAAGUAUGUGCUAGAUAUCUACAUUGACAUGUGCAUUACCCUUGAUUUAAACAGAAAGAUCACAUUUAUUGGCAAAAUAUCCCCUGAAAUGGACGCCUAGUCAGUGUGAGCGAAUAAAGGUUUGAGUAAAAAUGUUGCAUCAAAGUUUUAGACUCUUAAUAUAUUUUGUUCCCUCGAGUUCAGCUGAGCUCUUGAGAUCGAUCAAAUACAAACAACCUUAAUUUAGCAGAAGCAGCUCCUCUCUCACCCACUGCCAAAAGAAACACAGCAAUUACUCUCCAAGAUUUCAAACAGUGGUAUGUCUUGAAGGGCUGUUGAAAAGGAUUGCAUUAUAUAACACAGGUGUCUAUGCUAUUGUCUCCACCUCUCACUGAUUAACAAGAUGUGUAAGGCUCGUCUCUGUCAUGUGCUUUGUUUGCCUCGCGUUUCACUUGUUUCAUCAUGUAUUACAGCGUUUCAUUUUAUCACGUGAAUGAUUGUGAUAGGAGGAAGGAACAUAACGCUCUCUCUGUGAAGUCCUCUCAGACGUACUUGUGAUGAAAGCCGCUAUAAAUAAAUGCCCUUCAAUAUCGUGUAAUUCUGAUCUCUCAACCUCUUUCAUCCGCAGUAGGGGAUGUAAUUUUUCCGCCUGUUACCUCAAUAUAUGGGUUUAUUUAAAAGUACAAACACUCUUAUUCGUUCUCAUCUGUGGGUUUGUGAUGAAAUGGAAAUAUCACGUCAAUCCACUCAAUGUUUUUCUGCAACAUGACGCAGGUGCUCAAAAGUCAGAUGAGGACUAGAAGAUCAACAGUGACAGAAAACAGGUCAAACUUUGUAUUAGGGCUGGGCGAUAUGGCCUCAAAUUAAUAUCACGAUAUAUUGAGCAGUUCACCUCGAUAACGAUAAAUGGACGAUAACUACUCCACAAGCUGCUCACCCCCUCCCACAUUAACUUCGUUUACUUUACCCGCCGCUACAACUUCAACUGUCCUCCAUCUCCUCACCUGUCUUUCCCUUCCCACGUGUCUCCACCCUGGAUGGGGUGGAGACACGUCUCCGACAUACGACUUAAAAGGGACAUGAGACCAUAGCCUACCUACACACAUCCAAAACCAACUUUUUUUUUGACACUGAAUAUAUUGACAUGGGCGAAAUGACGUUGGUGAAUGUUGUAAAUUUCGGUAUCGGUAAAUUUUCGGUUUAUCGCCCAGCCCUUAUUUGCAUGUCCAGUGAAAGAAAAGUUAUACAUGUACAGUAUCUUAUCAUCAUUGACUAAAAAUGCUUCUGCUUCUUUUAGCUAAUGAGCAUGUGAAAGGAGAAGUGAGGAGUGCUGUGACCUUUGAGUUAAGACUGUUAUUUGCUAACGUUAGAUUAAUACUUUUUUUACUGAACUGAAGCAACUUAAUGAAUGUUUUCAUUUCACUCACAGGUUAUUUUCAGAAAACUGUGACAUCUAACUCAAUAAGCAGGAACCUGAUGAACCACAAGGCUCUCUUUGAUCUGCCACUACAGACAAUAACUGCAACUUAAGCCAUAAUUGGAUACUGUGGUAAUGUUUGACACUUGUAAGAUGCUUUGUUAGUGGGCAGGGGUCUAGGCUGCAUAAAAAAUGUGUAAAAGCAUGAACUCCUCAGUAGGGGUGAGAAUCACCAGCAAGCCAACACUAUGAUAUCAUCACGAUUCUAAGGCCACGAUACGAUAUUAUUGCGAUUUUUAACAUUUUGCAAUACAGUGAGUAUUUCGAUACAAUAUAUUGUGAUCUAUACAUUUUUUUUCAACUGUUUAGCUAAUUUAGCAUUUGGCUUUCCUUUAUGUUUGUCUUAUUUACACUGUAUUUUUUCUUUUUUAUGAAGCACAUCUUUCAAACCUUGUGUGUCAGGUCCAUCUCAUUUGUGCCCUGUUUACAUCCGUAAAGCUCUAUUAGGUGCUGCUUUGUUUGUUGCACCAACUCUCUCCAGCUCUAUGAUGUCACCUCUGCCAACCUCACUGCACAAACAGUUGAUUUUGUUUUUCCAUUAUCAUAGAUUUGACUUCAUAUUAACAAUUAAUUUGAAAAAAUCAAUACUUGGUCAAUGAGACGAUACGAUAUAUCGCCAGAAAAAAUAUCGUGAUACUAUGCUUUAUCAAUGUUUUUCUCCCACCCCUACUCCUCUGUCAGAGAAAGCUGCCUUUGUUGUAAGCUGCUGACUCCUUCGAAGUAAAAGAAGUUAAAAAAAAGACUACACUCUGUUGUUCUUUUCAGCUGACUACAAGACGGAUACAGUAGAAUUUUUCUGACAUCCAAUAUUGUGCCAUUGUCGUAGCACAAUAUAAAUCUGCUGGUGGGAAAAAAAUGCUUAAACUGAGGAAAAUUUAUGCAAAUGUAUCUAAAAAAAAAGCUAACUGGCAGUAACACCUUUUCUUUGUACAUUUGUCUAAAG